rnacentral:lncRNA from 1 species
AUUAAGAAAAGAAGCUUUAUGCAAAUUGCAAAAAGCUGAAAAAGUGGUUGAAACAUUUCAAAUCACCAAAUGCCACAUUUGAAAUGACUAGAUGAAACAUCACGAAAUCAAUUGCAACAGUUGAAGAUGAAAACAUUCAAACGCCUUGCCUUUCUCCAGAUUUGACCCUCCAAGCAUAUAUGAGUCCAGCCAUUUGCACAUUAGACCCUUGGGAGGAGCUCACCGGAGAACAACAAGACCGUGUUCUCCAACAAUUUUCCGAUCAAAUUGCAACAUAAAAAAGAAAGCAUUGCAACACAUCUGGCAUCGCGAGCUACAACAUCAACCAGUUAGGAUUAGGAGAAAGAGGGCAAACCCAAGCCUAGCAAUGAGUUAUAUCCGGUUUAAACGAGGAUAAAAAUGAGUGUAUUUUCCACUCAUCAUGUUGUCUUUUCGCAGCUGUACCGCCUUUAGUAUGUUGUAUUGUUCCCCUAACACCAAGUCUCCGAGGCCCGAGAAAAUAAGGAAAGUGAUAGCAGCCCAGAAAUCGACCAAGUUUCUUUCCCCCUUUGGCAUUCCUACUAGGAUUCGGAAUACUCUUUCGCAUGACAAUCAUAAUUAUCUCCCAUAAUCCAAAACUCACAAAAACAUCAAAAAUCCGCCGAGAAUAAAUUAAGUAAAAAACAUGCACAAACAAAUAAUAAUAAUAAUCAUGUUUCAAUAAAAUUGCUAAGGCCAGAGACAAUACAUAAACAUAUUAGACUGUUCAUGACACAUAUCACGGUGGACAGUGUCUAUGUCCUUAUUACAAGCAGCGAGAGGAAUUAAAUAUGCUUGACACCACACACACGAGCGCACAGAUGCACGACACACAUAUAGUUGAGACCAACAGAUGGACCUCGACUAGAGGUCGCCUCAUAUGGUGAACAAUUUAUUGGAGAUAAACAUGAACAUAACUUGGCCAUAGCUUGAAGCAUAGCAACAUAUGCCUAUGAAUGGCAUUCAUGCUGGUAGCAAUGCAAUCAUAUCGUUUUAGGCUUGUCCAGCUUCUUCCAUCUUAGCAAGCACUGCCAUUUCUUCCAUCUUAGCAGCAACUGUCAAAUUGAGAUAUGGUAUCCCAUUAGCGUAUGAGUUAAUUUUGCACUGGAAAUAGAGUACAAGAUGUCUUCAUGAUGUAAGUAAUAUGCCUGAAGUUGUGAGAUGGGAAGUGAAGUCAACAAAUUACAUUAACGGAAAUGCAUGGAAGGCCACACAUACGUAUUAGUCCACGAUAUGCUACAAAGCUUGUAUGUACAUAUAACAAAUUAAAUGCAUUGAAUAGAGUGAGUUUACUGAAUUUACCAGAAUCGGACAGAACACAUGGGAAACAGCAAGUGUUCUUGCAGAGUGAGUCGGAGCCACCUGCAGUAAUACAAGCAAAACAACAUGCUUUUGCCCGGGCGGAUACGCAGCAGCUGCACUGUGCCGCGGUGGCCGGGUUAACAUUGAGGCUCAAGAUGACCAGGCACAUGAUCACCAUCAAAGCGGUAGUCCUCUUUCCCUCCAUUGCCUCCUCUUGCUGCUACCUUCCUUGGUUACCUAGCUAAGUUUAUUGGUUUUGUGUUGAGAGGUGAUUCUUGAAUGGACGUUGCCGGCUGCAAUUUAUAGGCAGCUGCGCUAUGUGAUGAUAUGGACAAGGUGCAAAUGGGUGGUCCAAUGGCAAGGAAAGGGGGUAUUCUGCUUGACAUUGGCAUCAGACAAAGCCCAAUGGCAACUGCUGACACGCGAUUAAAAUCAGAUCCACAUCUUAUCCAGCCAUUCACUAAUAAUUAAACUAAACCCACGCGGUCCGCGAGAUGCAGCGUCCAUGCAUAGCACUUCCCGCAAACAAUAGGAAAAAUUAGAAUUCAGAGAUAGCAGCUGCUUGCAUGAAACACGGUUGCACAGAAAUCAGUGGUGCUUGGACGGUAAGUAGUGUGGUGUACAAGCUUAAAGCGGCAGUGAGUCACGUUGGUGUAACAAGCAGUACAUCAGCUGGAAGAUUGAUAUGUCUAUUGCCCACGCAGCAUAGCAUUUUAUUAUGAUACAUUGAGUUAUGUCAUAUUGUUACUUUAAGUUAUUUUUUAAGUAUUAGUUGUAGACAAUUUAGUUGCAAAUUUAAGCGGUUAUUUUAAAUUAUUUUUUAUAAUGGAAUAAGUGGGUAAUUUAGAUGAAGAUUAGGGGGUUACUUUAGCUUAUUUUAUAUAAUAGCAGAGGUGGGUAAUUUAGAUAUAAAUUUAGACACGUUUAACAAAAUGUAUCUACAGUUUCUGACACGGUCCGUGUGGAGACGCUCCAGACAUGCUUUACUCAAGCGCAUCUAUACUUCAGUAGAAAUGAAAUAAAGCGUAUCUAACAUAGGAAUAAAGUGUAUCUAGAGGAGGUUUUUCUUGUAGCGAGGGAUGAACCAUUAUUGGACGAACUGGCACACUUGCUUCUACCCGCUCCCCCACACCCCACAACCGCCCCCAGUGUGAGCGUCCAAGUCUCGAUCGUUGCUCGCGUUAAGCGGUGCCGCCGCACUGCACCACAGCGACAGAAGCCACACCACCGGCUGCAUGUGACAGCGGGGAGCACCCUCACCACCUGCCCGCGGGGAGCGCUUACGCCAGCCAUAGUGUCCCCGUAGAACCGCCACGCGAGCAUGUGAGCCACCGACCGCCGUGCCCCCAAGGGCCAUCACCGCGCUACCCGAGGAUGUUGUCUACCCGGUGCCACGCGCCUCUGCUAGGUGCCUGCACCUGGGCCGCCACCGGUCGCCUGCACAGCCACGUGUUGCAGCUGCCCCCUGCGCUGAGCCACCCCAUUAAACGUUGGAAGAACCACCUGAGUCUCGCACGCCGAGGUCUUGCUGGUGACGACCAUGGCCUCCGCGAUCAUAUGAAAAAGUUGUCAACUACAAAGUAUUAGGCCUCGUCGAGCUCUACAAUUUUGAUCGAAAGUUUCUAUUCAUCCGAGAUCAAAUGAAAAAGUUGGUACUCAAAAUAUACAUCCAUUAAUCUAGUCGUGCUAAUCCUUACCACAAAUUAAAAAACUAGCAUGUGUCGUGUGUUUGUGACCCUAAACAAUCACAAACGAAUAACUUAUCAACUUCAAAAUUUAGCUGAUCAGGAGUCUAGGCAACCUCAAGGGUAUAAAUAUGUGCACCCUGAGGCUUGCAAGAUUUUAUCUCUCGAUUAAUCAAUGCAAUUUUUGGGCGCCACGCAGCCAAACCCUUAGGAGUAGAAGUAACGUAGCUUUUUGAUGAGUAUCUUCUUGCGCGCAGGGCUGCAUCAGCUUCGAUAUCCGACGAACUUGUAAGUACCGUCAUCCGGUCAUUACGUUAUCUAUAUUAAAAGUUUCUAGGCAUCAUCCAAUAUUCUAAUCUUUUAUCGUGUGGCUAAUUAUCGAGUUAUCUUAUAUUGUAAAUAAAACUUGCUAGGGUUUGUCCAAUAUUCCAUUUGUUUUCAGCGUUACUGCUUAAUUAGAUCUGCUUAGGUUGUUCUCAUCGGCUUCUAGUCUUGUUUAAACGUUCACAAGUUAUUUGAUCGUAUCGGCAAGUUCGACCUUGCAUGCUUUUAUCGCUUUAUCUAUACUAGGUCCGAUAGAUCUUUACCCCUUCCCCUUGUAUUGCUAGCAGUUGGAUCCAUAACGUUAGAACGAUACUGUUGAGAGCUGAUGCAUUGAUUUAGUAUCAUCCAUAUCUCAUAGAAUGUAUCAUGGUUAAUGGCAAUUUAAUGAAAUUAUAAAGGAUAAUAACAAUCGUGCUUUCGGCGUUCCAAAAAUCAAUCAAGAAUUCAUCAUGGUUGUGCAGUGUAUGGAAACCUUAUGGUAAUAGUUAGAUGGGAAAUGUUGUAUUAUGUAAUAAAUCCAGGUACUUCACAAAUCAUGAUCGAUGGAUGUCUAACACUGUUGAAAGAGAUUGGAAUAAAGCAGACUCACCUCAGACUAUGCACCAUGUCUGAGUGACCCACCUCACCUUGCCAGGUCACUGGUCUUGCCAGCACACAAGCUAUGAUGUUGCCAGGAGUGGUCAGUACACAAAUCUAGCUACCAGUCGGAUCGAAGGGCAGGCAUUUGCAUUGUGGUUGUGCUUGAACAUGGAGAUGUCUUGCGAUUGUCACGCACCAUACAUCCUCUCUCAGUUUCACUCCGCCUCACACACGGAUAGGACACCAGGGACCCGACACCAUGCAUGCCGAUUUCAUAUUAUUAAUAUUUAUUUUUUGAAUGGUUGUUGAAACUAUAUAUAUAGUUAGUCCAAUCUCACGUUUCCGAUUAUAAAAAUUAACAUAAAGAGAUCGGAAGGGAGAGCACUAGAGCCGGCAUUUAUACAAACUGGUAUGAAUAGUAAAAUCUAGAAUUCAUAAAUAAAAAAAUGAUUUGCACAUCUAUGCAAUAAUUAGUGGUUAGUGGUAGGUCUAGAGAGAUAUCUCAUCAAAUCGAUGAGUUAUAUCCGGUUUAAACGAGGAUAAAAAUGAGUGUAGUCUUUUCGCAGCUGUACCGCCUUUCCUUUCGUGUGUUCUAUUGUUCCCCUAACACCAAGUCUCCAAGACUCAAGAAAAUAAGGAAAGUGAUAGCAGCCUAGAAAUCGACCAAGUUUCUUUCCCCCUUUGGCUUUUCUACUAGGAUUCGGAAUCCUCUUUCGCAUGACAAUCUUAAUUAUCUCCCAUAGUUCAAAACUCACAAAACUAUCAAAAAUCCACCGAGAAUAAAUUAUGUAAAAACAUGCACACACAGAUAAUAAUAAUAAUAAUCAUGUUUCAAUAAAAUUUCUAAGGCUAGAGACAAUACAUAAACAUAUUAGACUAUUCAUGACACAUAUCACAGUGGACAGUGUCAGUAUCCUUAUUACAAGCAGCGAGAGAUGCUUGUCACCACACACACGCGUGCACAGAUGCACGACAUACAUAUAGUUGAGACCAACAAAUGGUUGCCCCAUAUGGUGAACAAUUUAUUGGAGAUAAACAUUAACAUAACUUGGCCAUAGCUUGAAGCAUAGCAACAUAUGCCUAUGAAUGGCAUUCAUGCUGGUAGCAAUGCAAUCAUAUCGUUUUAGGCUUGUCCAGCUUCUUCCAUCUUAGCAAGCACUCCCAUUUCUUCCAUCUUAGCAACAACUGUCAAAUUGAGAUAUGAAAAUUCCAUUAGCACAUGAGUUAAUUUUGCAGUGGAAAUAGAGUACAAGAUGUCUUCAUGAUGUAAGUAACAUGCCUGAAGUUGUGAGAUGGGAAGUGAAGUCAACAAAUUACAUUAACGGAAAUGCAUGGAAGGCCACGCAUGCAUACGUAUUAGUCCACGAUAUGCUACAAAGCCUUCUAUGUACAUAUAACAAAUUAAAUGCAUUGAAUAGAGUGAGUUUAGUGAAUUUUACCGGAAUCGGUCAGAGUACAUGGGAAACAGCAAGUGUUCUUGCAGAUGAAGUCGGGGCUACCCGCAGCAAUACAAGCAAAACAACAUGCUUUUGCUCGGGUGGAUACGCAGCAGCCACACUGUGCCGCGGUGGCCGGGUUAACAUUGAGGCUCAAGAUGACCAGGCACAUGAUCACCAUCAAAGCGGUAGUCCUCUUUCCCUCCAUUGCCUUCUCUUGCUGCUACCUUCCUUGGUUACCUUGCUAAGUUUAUUGGUUUUGUGUUGAGAGGUGAUUCUUGAAUGGACGUUGCCGGCUGCAAUUUAUAGGCUGUGUGAUGAUAUGGACAAGGUGCAAAUGGGUGGUCCAAUGGCAAGGAAAGGGGGUAUUGGCAUCAGACAAAGCCCAAUGGCAACUGCUGACACGCGAUUAAAAUCAGAUCCACAUCUUAUCCAGCCAUUCACUAAUAAUUAAACUAAACCCACGCGGUCCGCGAGAUGCAGCGUCCAUGCAUACACUUCCCGCCAAACAAUAGGAAAAAUUAGAAUUCAGAGAUAGUAGUGUGCCAGCAGCUGCUUGCAUGAAACACGGCAAUCAGUGGUGCUUGGACGGCAAGUAGUGUGGUGUACAAGCUUAAAGCGGCCUUGUGUAACAAGCAGUACAUCAGCUGGAAGAUUGAUGUCUAUAGAGGCUUGUUAUUAUCUUUAAUUCCACAUACUGCACAAUGUCAAAGUAAAAUGCGAAAGGAUAACAAGCUGAUACAGAGUGAUUGGAUUUACUUGAGGAGUAGCUUGAAGAAACAUCCAGCAACAACAGAAAAGUCAAAGUAUCGAGCCCAUGAAGCUAUAAAGCAGAUUGUAUUGGCUAGAAGAUUCAGGACGCUGGACUUACAAAAGUUGGAAGCAUGACAUUCAUACUCCGAACUUAGGGGCCUGUGUUCACACUGGAUGAUUUUAGCCGGUGAAAUCCCUUGUUUCGCAUUUUUCAUCAGGUCCCAAUGCCCAUGCAGCAUAACAUUUUAUUAUGAUACAUUGAGUUAUGUCAUAUUGUUACUUUAAGUUAUUUUUUAAGUAUUAGUUAUAGGCAAUUUAGUUGCAAAUUUAAGUAGUUAUUUUAAAUUAUUUUUUUAUAAUGGCAUAAGUGGGUAAUUUAGAUGAAGAUUAGGGGGUUACUUUAGCUUAUUUUAUAUAAUGGCAGAGGUGGGUAAUUUAGAUAUAGAUUUAGGGGUUACUUUAGGCUAUUUUCUUAAUGGAAUAGGUGGGUAAUUUUUUUAGAAAAUAUAAUAGAUCCAAUGGCUACGAUGAUUUGAGUCUAAUGAUUGAUGGCAAGAUGUUUUGCUUGUUUGUGGGAAUUUUAAAUAUUUCUCUUUUUUCUAGAGUGUCCACCUAGAAUGCUAGGUGGUUUCACUUGGAGGCUUCAAAAGGAGCUUCCAAAUUAGUAAUAGUAAGAUUUUCUCAAAAGAGACUUGAUUCUACCACUAUAACUUGAUUGGCCGCCCCGGCCUCUACCUUUGCCUCCAUUUGACUAUUUGAGUUGGCUGUCAACGAUUCACGGUGCUGGCAACAUUACGUUUGAUCCAAAUGCCACUACUCAUGUGCGCCAGCUGUAUUCUACCAAGUGGCAUGUGGGAAUGCCAUGAUGCAUGUGCAGUAACAGCGUGCACAUCUUGUAGGAUUCGCACCUCGUUUUCACUAUUGUAUCAUCUUAGCGAUUAGGAGCGAAGUGUGCUUUGGGGUUGCAAUUGGGAUAUAGACCUUAUUCUCGAAGAGAAUCUUAAAAGCUUACAUUCGCCCCCUCCGGUCGCCCGUGUUCCGAUCCUUCACCUAUAAAUUAGGAGUAGCAGGUAGUAAGUGGCAGGUUAGAUAAGUACUCGUUGAUGAAUGUUGACUUGGCGUGAUCGGCUCUGCUAUUUUCACGAAGAUGCCAAUAUUGAAAGCACAUCCACCAUUUCUGCGGAUGUGAGGGAUGAACUAAUUAAUUGUUUCUUGUCCAUUAUUGCACCGUACCUCCCAUUUUCCCGUUUUCCAAACAAUUAAAGGUACCCUUACGUUACGCUUGAUCCAAAUGCCACCACUCAUGUGCGCAAGUGGCAUGUGGUAAUGCCAUGAUGCAAGUGCAGUAACAGCGUGUACAUCUUGCAUGAUUCGCGCCUCGUUUUCACUAUUGUAAUCUAUAAAGAAACAAACAAAAAACAAAACGAUGGAUGGAUCAGCUCGGGAUCCAAUAAUCGAGAGGAAUUCAAGGAAAAAGAAAAAUUUGGGAUCACGUGUGCGGAUCCUAAUAACAAUAUAUAGUAGGACAUCUCCAUGCUCACCUAGUAGCCACUACUAGUGCGCCGGCCCAGUUGGCGCUAAGACAUCGUACGUGCAUUAAGGGGGUGUUUGGAUACUGGACGCUAAACUUUAGCAGUGUCACAUCGGAUGUUCGGAUGCUAAUUAGGAGGACUAAACAUGAGCUAAUUAUAAAACUAAUUGCAGAACCCCUGUGCUACUUCGCGAGAUGAAUCUAUUAAGGCUAAUUCAUCCAUCAUUAUCAAAUGGUUACUGUAGCACCACAUUAUCAAAUUAUGGACUAAUUAGGCUUAAUAGAUUCAUCUCGCGAAUUAGACUCCAUUUGUGCAAUUAGUUUUGUAAGUAGUCUAUGUUUAAUACUUCUAAUUAGCAUCCAAACAUCCGAUGUGACAGGUGCUAAACUUUAACAGUGGGGAUCCAAACGGGGCCUAAGUCUGUGGUGCCCAACGAUCUCUUUCUUCUAACUCAUGCUUGACUGUGACGGUGCUAUUAUAUAUUAUUGCAUGAUCAUCAGGAUAAGAUCGUAUAGUGACUGAGUGAGACAUGUAUGUACUAACUUGCAUUUAUCCAAGAAGAGGCACAUGAGUAGUGGUGCAUGCAUCCACACCUUGGCAUGCUGCAAACUUUUAUGGGUCCAUAUGUAUAGCCAAGUAAACUAUUUUAUCCUGCUGCAAGCUGCAGACAUAAGUUUAUUUAACCUUUGUUCACAAUCACUUCCACUGUCGUCGCAAUUGCCAAAGACAAGCUCACCAAUGCUAUUGCGGAGCAGGCCAAUUUCCUGUGGAACUUCGGCGACGACCUGAAGGACAUGAACUCGGUGCUGGAGUCCAUCUCAGCAGCGCUUCAGGACGCUGACACCGGUAGAAAAACGACAUUCCAUCCUCAACAAAAAUCCUAGCAUCCUCUACUCAGUCAGAUGUACUGUGUAGGUGAGAUGGUAAGGAAGCUAUGCGCGAGGCUUGAGGUCGUGAGUUCGAAUCCCAUGCACCACGCACGCACGCGCAUAUUUCGCGUGACUUGUGAUCAGCCAAGGAGAAAUGGGUGCAGCUGUUGCUUAAGUGCCUGAGGCACACUGCCAUAGACAUCUCGGAUUUGCUCGAAGACUACCAAGAAACUAGGAACCCUUAACAGCAAAGGUGAGUACUUAUGUAUGUCAGCAUCUAUGUUGUCCAUGCUUCCAAUGCAAUAACACGAAGGACUACUCUUCCUAGCGGACUCUUCACAAUCACUCGUAAAGGUAUGCGUUUCUCAAUGCAAUUUCAUAGAAGGCAAUCGAUCCAACCAAGCGACUAAAUCAUUCGUCCUUGCCAAUGAUGUGCAUCAGGUUUUCUAUAUGAAGGGCAUGUCUAGCAAACCCAAGAUUUCAGAACAAAAGAAAAAUCAUGUGAGCCAAAGCGCCACAUUGUUCUUCCAAGUAAAAAAAAUCAUGGGAGUCAAGAACAAAUCAGACCAAUCAGGGGAUUAUUGUCAGCUUGAUGGCAUGCCUCCAUUCGAUGUCGAAGUUGACCCAAGCAUCAUGUUAGCCAAAGUUCAAAUGUUCGUGCGUUGCUAUGGUAAAUAUCAAUUGUGUUUUUUAAACUCAUGGAUUUUUUUAUCUAAGUUUUUAUUACACUUAUUGGAUGUCUACACAUUUGCUAGAAAACCAAAAUAAUUUUGACUUAAUUAUUUCUUUCAACUCAAAUACUCAUUAAAUUUCUACGUUUUUAUUUAAGCAAGAGAGUUGCUACAAAAAAAUGGAUACGUAACCAUAUUGUAUCAUACAAAGCAACCACAUUUCACAUAUAGUCCGGCUUUGCAAACACCAUUGUUAUCUGAACAUAGCAUACAUGAGUUAGUAGACAUGGAUAUAUUUCUAAUUGCAAGUAGCAUAUAACCAGCCUGCACCGACGCAGCUCAAUAUGCGAUAAUUUUUAUCUUCCCAUGUAAUUUUUCUACUCUAGUACAUAUUGAACUCCACAUAAAUGUGAUCUUUCACGCCACAUACGGUUCCUAAAGUUUGGAAACUAAAUAGAUAGCCAGAAAUUUUUUAGAAAGUAUUUAUAUGGAUACAUGUAUGUUCUUCGCAAACUAACAGUAUUGUUUACCAAUAUCAAAAGGAAUAUGGCUAGGAUCAUUGCCGCAUAUGGCAGGUGAUGGUAAAGUUAUCAACUGCAAAGUAUUAGGCCUCGUUGAGCUCUACAAUUUUGAUAUAAAGUUUCUAUUCAUCCGAGAUCAAAUGAAAAAGUUGGUACUCAAAACAUACAUCCAUUAAUCUAGUCGUGCUAAUACUUACCACUAAAUGAAAAACUAGCAUGUGUUGUGUGUUUGUGACCCUAAACGAUCACAAAUGAAUAACUUAUGGGCGUUGCUAGCGCCCGAACGUAUGGUCCGGGGUGCUAGCAUCGGAUGCACGAGCAGCCGUCCGAUCAGGUCCGACACCACUUCAGGAUCUGGCUCAAAAAAAAGUCCCACCGAAACAUUGUUCCAUGUUGCAUAAAAUAUCCCACUAUCCAUUGCUGGGUCUAGAGCAAGCACCAGCUUCCAAUAUGCUGCUCACCCAAGCUAAAUAGGGGCAUUAAAAUUGCAGAAAUAUGUCGCAUAUCCUUCUCAAAUUAAACUAAAUCGCAACAUCCGAAAAUUUCUUACACAAAACCAUGAAACAUAUCGAUUAGAUAGGUGUAACAAGAUGAAAUAUGGUAUGCAACAUAUAGAUUCUGAAAAACAGAUGAAACAUUAUUUAAUGAUUGUUGAAACAGUCGAGAAAAAUAGAUGUAACAUCUAAAAUUAAGAAAAGAAGCUUCAUGCAAAUUGCAAAAAGCUGAAAUAAGUGGUUGAAACAUUUCAAAUCACCAAAUGCCACAUUUGAAAUGACUAGAUGAAACAUCACAAAAUCAAUUGCAACAGUUGAAGAUGAAAACAAUCAAAUGCCUUGCCUUUCUCUAGAUUUGACCCUCAAGCAUGAGUCCAGCCAUUUGCACAUUAGACCCUUGGGAGGAGCUCACCGGAGAACAACAAGACCUUGUUCUCCAACAAUUUUCCGAUCAAAUUGCAACAUAAAAAACAAAGCAUUGCAACAUCUGGCGGUAUCAUGAGCUACAACAUCAACCAGUUAGGAUCAGGAGAAAGAGGGCAAACACAAGCCUAGCAAUGAGUUAUAUCCGGUUUAAACGAGGAUAAAAAUGAGUGUAUUUUCCACUCAUCAUGUUGUCUUUUCGCAGCUGUACCGCCUUUAGUGUGUUGUAUUGUUCCCCUAACACCAAGUCUCCGAGGUCCGUGAAAAUAAGGAAAGUGAUAGCAGCCCAGAAAUCGACCAAGUUUCUUUCCCCCUUUGGCUUUCCUACUAGGAUUCGGAAUCCUCUUUCGCAUGACAAUCUUAAUUAUCUCCCGUAGUCCAAAACUCACAAAAACAUUAAACAUCCUCCGAGAAUAAAUUAAGUAAAAAACAUGCACACACCAAUAAUAAUAAUAAUCUUGUUUCAAAAAAAUUGCUAAGGCCAGAGAUAAUACAAAAACAUAUUAGACUGUUCAUGACACAUAUCACGGUGGACAGUGUUUGUGUCCUUAUUACAAGCAACGAGAGGAAUUAUAUAUGCUUGUCACCACACACACGCGCGCACAGAUGCACGACAUACAUAUAGUUGAGACCAACAGAUGGAUCGACUAGAGGUGGCCCCAUAUGGUGAACAAUUUAUUGGAGAUAAACAUUAACAUAACUUGGCCAUAGCUUGAAGCAUAGCAACAUAUGCGUAUGAAUGGCAUUGAUGCUAUCGUUUUAGGCUUGUCCAGAUAAUAAUAUCUGGUUUUAAGCAUAACAUGGUUUUUACUUAAUUUAUCUGUGCGUGCGAUAAUAAACCAGAUAAUAGCUUGAAACAUGUUGUGCAUUGGCACCACACGCACGAGAAUAAAUUAAGUAAAAAACAUGCACACAUAGAUAAUAAUAAUAAUCAAGUUUCAGUAAAAUUGCUAAGGCCAGAGACAAUACAUAAACAUAUUAGACUAUUCAUGACACAUAUCACGGUGGUCAGUGUCUGUGUCCUUGUUACAAGCAGCGAGAGAUGCUUGUCACCACACGCACGCGUGCACAGAUGCACAACAUACAUAUAGUUGAGGCUGCAAUUUAUAGGCAGCUGCGCUAUGUGAUGAUAUGGACAAGGUGCAAAUGGGUGGUCCUGAUAUGGAUAAGGUGCGAAUGGCUGUCUACUUGUAUUGUGUAGCUCCAAUGUACGUAUGUAUCUUAUACAUGUAUACAGUUGAUGGAUAAGGUAUACAGUCUUUGUUACCAAGUAAUUUUACUUUCGCACGUUUCAGCCGAGAGGCAGAAGAGAAUAUUUUACAGAGAGGGCAGAGAAGGAGGUUGGUAGGGUUCCCCGUGUCGCCAAGAUUUUUGCAUUUUACAUGUGUGUAUAGAUCACUUCGUCGUGCGGCGCCCUACUCCAGGUUGUACCCCAGCAGACCACGUUCUGUUUCUCUGCCUCCACAAGGACCACAAGACUUAGUAAAAAAAGCUAAACUUUGCAACACGAUGUAUACAGAAUUAGUAGCUAGAUCUAUAUAUGAAAUUCAUCCUAAAACUGAUAGGUGGAGAGAAGUAAAAAAUACCAAUUUGAUUUCCUAUCUGAUUAGAGGAAAUAUGGAUGGAUCGGUCGCAAUUAGCGAAGUGGCUCCAAUUGACAUAAAAGGUGUGCAUUGCAUUCAGCAAGAAAAAUUGAGUUUCUACUGAAUCUAUGAAAAAAAAUGAGCUUACGUUAUCAUAUAUAGGCAUAAAUUAAAAUGACAAGAAAUUCCAACCACGGUAUAUAAGACCAAUAAUUGGAAAGAUGGAUGAAAGGAAGAUAGGGUUUAAAUUAAAGUCUCCGCAUAGGCAGUUUGACUAUGAUCAAUUUUACCUGUAUUUCUCAAUAUGUAGAUAAUUCUAUGCCAACAAUUAAAAACUAAUACAUAAUUUGACACGGUGCACCUUGAGAACGUUUUGAAAAUGUACUCUCGUUACGCGUUCACCUCCUUAACAAUAACUGCGACUGUAAAAUAGGUACAUCGACGCUAGCUAAAUAAACAACUAUAAGAUUUAGCAAGAGAUCAUUUUAUACAAUCCUGUAACGAAAGAAUUUGACAAUUAUAUUGUCCAUAUAUUUUGACGAAAAACGUCUAAAUUAUAUAAGGUGGGCCCGAAACAGUUGGAUUAGCAUAUGGUUACCCGUUUGUUGUCUUCCGGCCCUAAAAAAAGGACCAUCUUACUGAAAAAGGUUCUAUUAGCACAAGUAGAGAACUGACUUUCGAUGCACCCCCUUUUAUCCCGGUUUAAAGUAGGCCCGGGAGAAAAGGGGGUGCGCCAUGGUAGGCAAAAAUAGAGGGGAGAUUUACUCCCGGUUGGUAUUUGCAACCGGGACUAAAGGCCACCCUUUUGUCCCGGUUGGAGCCUCCAACCGGGAAAAAAGGGUGGGUGGACCUUUUGUCCCGGUUGGUGUUACCAACCGGGACAAAUAGUUUACUCCCGGUUGGAGGUUCCAACCGGGAGUAAACUUUUAGUCAUUUUGUCGGCCCUUUUGUCCCGGUUGGAGCCUCAAACCGGGAGUAAACUUUCAAUCGGGACAAAAGGUGUUUCUUUUUGUGUCAGUUGGAGUUUCUAACUGGGAUAAAAACUCAUCCCCAUUAUAUACCAAGACAGAGGUCUUUCUUCCUCCUCCAGCCCGAGCCAGUCCACCACAAAGACAGAGAGCUCAGCUUCACCUACUCUCCGGUGGUGCCGAAGCAAGGGAGGUGCUGCCCGAAUUUUUUUACCCUCAUUUUCGUGGGAAUUUCACUCAGCCAACACAAGUGUUGUGAAGGUUUGCUACUUCAUCCUCGUGUUACGCUUUGAUUUAUGCUUUGGAGAUGGAAAGUUUAUUUGCUAGAAUGUGAUGAAGUAGAAAAUGGAGAGGUACUUUAAGCUAGAAUGUGAGGGAGAUUGAUGUGUCAUAUAUAGUAUGUAUUCUUGCAGUGAUUUAAGAAUGAUGCUACCUUGUCUAGACGGUUUAUCUUAUCAAAUUCAAUAUGGUUUUUCAAAUUCAUACUUAUUGAACUUGCAUACCGUGUUCAUGUCGGCGAGAAUGUUCUACGAGAAAGAGUGGAUACGGACAUCGUGACCGUAUCCCCUUUUUCGUAGAAUCGAACCUCUUUCAUGACGAAGUGCGAUGCCGCCCAGUUGAGAACAUGCUCGCCAGAUGAUCACGGUCUUCAAGUUCAACAAGUUCUGUAGGCAUACCGUGAUCAUCUCGGUAAGCAUGUUCUCCGUGGAGCAGCAACGGACGUCAAGGAGGAGGUUCGAUUUUACGAGAAAGAGAGGCAACAGACAUCGUGGAUGACUGUGUCCCCUUUCUCGUAAAAUCGAACCUCUUCCAUGACGAAGUAUGGUGCCGCUCAGUUGAGAACAUGCUCACCGAGAUGAUCACGAUCUUCAAGUUCAACAAGUUCACCGCUAAGGUAAGAAUUUUUGUACAUAGAUGGCUUCUGCUACUGGAGGAAGUGGCGAUGGUGGGGGCGAUCGUCGUUCCUCUUUCGGCAAGGGGAAAAUCAUAGUUGGCCCUCAGGAUAAGCCGAAGAAAAUGAGCGCGUUGGAGAAAGCAAUGCUUCGUUAUUUGCAGAAACGUCAUGAAGAAGCUGUUGCCGCGGGUCAGGAACCUCCUUUUGGUUGUCGUUAUGCUCCACCCUCAGUCCCGGGUGUUUCACGUCCACUUAGUACUACCAUUUCAGGUGGCACAAAUAAACCACAGGAUGAGGCUGGGUCAGCGGAACCUUCAUCUUCACCGCCCAAGGAUGCUUAAAGUCCUCCUAGAUAAUAACCAGUGGAUGGCUUGUUGUAUUGUAUCAUGUUGUUUGGAUAUUUAAUUUAAAUAUGUGUAUUUGUAUCUAUAUCUAAACUUUCAGCAUUAUUUGCACUACAACGUUUGACAUGCUUUCAAUCAUGAAUCCAUUUUCAAGUGUAAUCAAUUUUCACGCGUAAUCCAUUUUCAAGUGUAAUCAAUUUUCACGCGUAAUCCAUUUUCAAGUGUAAUCAAUUUUCAUGUGUAAUCCAUUUUCAAGUGUAAUCAAUUUUCACGCGUAAUCCAUUUUCAAGUGUAAUCCAUUUUCAUGCGUAAUACGAUGCAGAUGGACCGGCAAUGGAUGUAUAAUGCAGACAGACGGAGCAAGGUGUUUAUUGAUGGCUUGCAUUAUUUUCUCGAAGUGGCCAAAGCGAACAAGCCAGAGAAUGGGAUCGUAUGUUGUCCAUGCUUCCAAUGCAAUAACAAGAAGGACUAUUCAAAGGAUUCCUGGGGGACUAUUCACAGCCACUUGUUUAGAUACGGUUUCAUGCCUAACUAUUUGGUUUGGACCAAGCACGGUGAAAGAGGGGUUGUAAUGGAAGAUGGUGAGGAGGAGGAGGAGGAUGGCAACAUUCCGGACUAGGUUGCAGGCCAAGCUUUUGCAGAUACUACAAUGGGCGAGGCUGAUGAAGAUGAGUUUGCAGAAAAUGGCCCUACGAUGACCUUGGUCAGGUGCUACGAGAUGCACACAGAGAUUGCGAAACUGAGAAGGAAGCAGCAAAGUUGCAACGCAUGAUAGAUGAUCACCAAAAAUUGUUGUACCCAGAUUGCCAGCAGGGCCAUAAAAAACUAGGUACGACACUAUAAUUUGUGCAAUGGAAGGCAAAAAAUGCUGUGUCCGAUAAGGCAUUUCAGGGGAUGUUGAACAUUGUCUAGAAGAUCAGGCGAGAUGAUCCUGGUGAUGUCGAGGGGCAGUCUCCCAAGAAGAGAGUUCCCGCGAAGGUGAUGUGGUAUUUCCCUAUAAUACCACGCUUGAAGCGCUUGUUCAGGAACAAGGCAAAUGCUAAGUUGAUGCGAUGGCACAAAGAAGAACAUAUGGAAGAUGAGAUGCUGAGACACCCCGCAGAUGGGGCCCAGUGGAGAUCAAUUAAUAGAGCAUUCCCGAACUUUGAAAGUGAAGCAAGGAACAUAAGGUUUGGUUUAAGUAUUGAUGGAUUCAAUCCAUUCGGUGAGUUGAGUAGUGGCUAUAGUACUUGGCCUGUGACCCUAUGUAUGUUCAACCUUCCUCCUUGGCUGUGCAUGAAGCGGAAGUUCAUUAUGAUGCCGGCGCUUAUCCAAGGCCCAAAACAACCCGGCAAGGGAUAUGGAACAGAGGAGUUGAUCGAGUUUUGUGUUGAUUUUAUUGACUCAAUUGACUCGAUUGGGGUUCCAACUUCACGCCACGAGGGGAGGCUCCGGGGAAUGGGCACCCUUGGAAGGAAAUCAAGUUUGAGCAAUGAUACUGAUUUGUUCGACAAGGCACACUACACUGUUCUGCAAUAGUCAUCCUUUGUGUCUCCCUAUAUCGAGCAGCACAGGCAGAUGGUAGUUUUCCAAAAACCUGACGAAAUCCGAUGCUUGGCUUACACAUCAUCACAUGGAAACUUUUUCCUCCUGGUUGCGCCAACAACUCAUGGGUAACUCUGAGAUUUACCUACAGCUCGCUUGGUUAGCCAGGGGACCUGCUAGCACAAUCGUGAAAUUUCAAGACUAUGAGAUAAAUGGUUAUACAUUUUACACGAGAGCCUAGGACCAGAAAAGCACGAACCAGAAUAGUGGUGUCCGCAUAGAUGCCAUAGAUAGAAAUAAUAACAAGGAGUCGUAUUAUGGUUUCAUACAGGAGAUAUGGGAACUCGAAUACGGACCGCUGUACAUCCCUGUAUUUCUUUGCAAUUGGGUGAAGCUAACUGCCGUAACCAAAGAUCAGUACGGAAUGACAAUAGUAGAUCUGAGCAAGACUGGAUACAGUGAUGACCCAUUCGUACUUGCGAAUGAUGUGCAUCAGGUUUUCUAUGUGAAGGACAUGUCUAGCAAACCCAAGAGAAAUCCAGAAGAGACAUGGGAGCCAAAGUGCCACAUAGUUCUUCCAGGUAAAAGAAAAUCAUUGGAGUCGAGGAUAAAAUAGACGAAUCAGAUGAUUAUGAUCAGUUUGAUGGCAUGCCUCCAUUCGCAGUUGAAGUUGACCCAAGCAUCCUGGUAUCCAAAGAAGAGGCUCCAUACUUACGCCGCGAUCAUGAUCAAGGAACUUUCGUGAAGAAGAAAUUUUACAACGUUGUAUUGUAAUGCGCUAAAUUUACUUGACCUUUGUGAAGUACUUGAUACAAUUUUUAAUUUAACCUAUGUAUGAUUUCAUGUGUUCUUAAAUUUGUUGAGGUGAAGAUUUAUUAGAUAAACAUGAACAAUGUUAACCACACACAUACAUGGAUUAUUUUUGCGCGUUGAAAUUAUUUAAUUGAAUAAUUUCUCGAUCAUUGCGAUGCAGUAAAAUAAUUAUUUUAGAGGCUAAACGAACUGGUAUAGAAUUAAUGACUAAUUCACACUUAUUGUCAAUAUACUUGCUAAUUAAAUAUAUUUUUGCAUAUUCAAAAUAUGUGAAUUUUUUUGUUUUUGCAUCCUGAAAUGCAGUGAAAACAUACAUAAAAUCCUUUUCCAAAAAAUAGGCGGGAGAUGAAAGUGUGGGAAAAGGCACUUUUGUCCCGGGUGCCAAUAGAAACCGGGACAAAAGGACCUUUUAUCCCUGUUGCCAAAAGCAACCGGGAUCAAAGGCCGUCCCUUUUGUCUCGGGUGCCAACGCCAACCGGGACAAAAGGCCCCCUUUUUAUCCCGGUUGACAACUACAACCGGGAUAAAAGGGUAGUUUUCGUUUCCCGCUGGGGACGUACCCUUUUAUCCAGGUUACAGUUAGCAACCGGGAUAAAAGGGGGGGCCCUUUUGUCCCGGUUGGUGUUGGCACCCGGGAUAAAAGGGCCUUUAGUCCCGGGUUCAAUUACGAACCGCGAUAAAAGGGGGGAGGGAUAAAAGGCACUGUAGCCUCUUCUACCACCACCCCACGCUAGUUACGACACUUAGCCAAAUUUUCACCGCUGCCAAGAUCCCGCGCCCUUCCGCCAGCUCCGUCACCGCCCAUCCGCCUCCCUCGCCGGCCGCCGUCGUCCUCGUCGUCCAUCGCCCCGGCCAUCAUCGUCCCGCCGCCCGACCGCCUCGCCCGCGCCCAGACCACCUCCUCCUCCAUCGCCCCGGCCCGCCUCCGAUCCUCCUCCGUCGUGCCCCCUCGACCUCGUCGCAGCCGGCCGCCUCCAUCGCGGGGCCUCGUCCCCGCCUCAGUCAACGCCACAUUCUCUGUCGCCGCCUCAUCACCGCCUCUGUCGCGCGCGCCGCCUCCGUCCCUCGUCGCCGUCCGCCUCCGCCCGUUGUUGCUGUGGCCACCUCGCUCCGUCCCCGCCUCCGCCGUCCCACCGCCCCGGCCGCCGCCGUCCCGCCGUCCCGGCCAUCUCGUCGCCCAGCUAGGCACCGCGUGAGGUCCGCCGGCACUGGCACCGGGAAUGAACAGCUCUUGCUGACGCAAACCCACCGGCUUGCGUAAGCAAGGACCUUUUUUAUUUUUUAGUUAGAAAAUGAAUAGAUAUUAGUAGAUUAGUUAGAAAAUCAAUAGAUAUUUGUAGAUUAGUUAGAAAAUCAAUAGAAAAUCAGUUGAUAAAUUUUGUAGAAAUUCAUUCAAAUUAGUAGGAAUUAGUUGUAAUUUGCUAGAAAUUCCAAUAAAUAUGUUGAAAUUAGUAGAAAUUUGGUAGAAAUUCUUACAAAGUACUACUAAUUUGUUGAAAUUUGUAUAAACAUUCCGAACUUUGUGGGAUUCAUGUUAUUGUAAAAUUAUUAGGCAUUAGUAGAAAUUUUGUAGAAAUUCCAAUAAAUAUGUAGAAAUUAGUAGAAAUUUUGUAGAAAUUCAUACAAAGUACUACUAAUUUGUUGAAAUUUGUAUAAACAUCUUGGAUCAGCGCUUGGUUUGUUGAAAUUUGUAUAAACAUCUCGGAUCAGCGCUUGGGUUGUGUAAGUGUCCGUUUAUCUACAUGUAAAUUUUGCCUCAUAUCAUUAUUUUUUUUGCGUGCGUCACCGUACUAACUUCGUCUUCCAUUUUAUGUAGCAUGCUAAUUCAGACGUGCCGACGAGAGGCGUACCUACAUAUUGGCUUCAUGGGUCCAUCCGUAGUUAACCAAAAACAGAUACAAUUAUCGCCGGAAAAAACCUUGGUGGAAGUAUACAAUUUCCUAGACAAACAAAAAUUCAAGGAUUUCAUACUACUUCCAUACAACUUCAGGUAAGUGUGUGUAUACCGUCUACUUUCGUUGUCUUUUUCCUUACCUGAUUAAUUAGUUAGCUCUAAUAUGCAUGAACAUUUUACGUACGCAGCUUCCACUGGAUCCUUAUUAUAAUUGAGCUUGAAAGAAGCCACGUCACUGUCUUCGAUUCGUUGAGGAAAGAUCCGGUGGAGUACCAAGACAUGCAAGACAUGCUAGGCUUGUAAUAAUUUUGGACCUUUAUCUCUAUGCAAAAGUUUGUUUCCUAAAUUUUAUCCCUGUUACACUAUAUCAUUCAUUAUUCUAAUCCGCAGCGCAUGGAAACAAUUCAUAAGGACACACAAAGGUCCAUUCAAAGAAAAACUUACAUGGAACACAGACUUCCUGGUACGUAUGAAGUCUGCACAUUUAGUACAUUGUAUAACACGAAUAUUUCAUAACUUAUUUUUUUCGACACUGAAGUGCUUAAGACAGGAACUCGGGAAUAAUCUAUGUGGCUACUACAUCUGUGAGCACAUGCACAUUUUUAUGGGACCCAAGGGACUAAAGAUGACGCCGCACAACUUUAAAGUACGUAAAAUAAAACUAUUACUAGUUAAUUAUUUUCUAGCUCCUUAUAUUUAAUUGUUCGUGUAACAUUCACAAAUUUCCAAAUUAUAGAUGUUAAAUAUUCAACAAGGACUCUUGAAGAAAAAAAAGGGUAGCGGCAAUAUGUGAAGGUCUCGUUGGAUUCCUAAUGGACGAGGUGGUAAAUCCACAGGGAGAAUUUUAUUACGAUGGACGACAAUUAGACGCUCCGAGCAACACCUCGACGGGAAGAUUGUAGAUAUAUAGUUUGAUUUGUAUACAUAACACGCGCUAAGAUCGAUUUGUAUAUAUAGGUGAUUUCAUUAUACUAGUUGAAUUGUGUAUAUGAAUUGCGUAUAUAUAGUAAUUGUAUAAUUACAAAUUUCAUUCGUUUAAAUACUAGUUGAUUUCAUUAUAAAAAAAGUCUCAACUACUAAAGGUUAACAAAAGGGCCGCGGUACUACGUACGUGAUGCAUGAAAAUUUAAGAUGCCAUGCAGGAAAAUUUAAAUAGGACUUUAGUCCCGGUUGGGAAACCCAACCGGGACUAAAGGGGCACCCUUUACUCCCGGUUGCUUUUCCCAACCGGGAGUAAAGGGCCUGUCCCGCGCCAACCGGGACUAAAGGGUGACCUUUACUCCCGGUUGAAGGACCCGGGACUAAAGACCCCCCCUUUUGUCCCGGUUGGUUUAUCCCGGAUGGAUUUUCGAGAGAUAUGCACCCUACCAACCGGGACUAAAGGCGAGUUCUCUACUAGUGUAGGCCAUGCAGCCGGCUCUGUGGUACCAAAAAGAAAUUUUUGACAUGGUUUACAUCGAGAACGUUUUGAAACUAGACUUUGGUACGCAGUUCACCUUCUUAACAAUAACGGCGUACAUAGACGCUAUCUAAAUUGACCACUUUAAGAUUUAGCGAGAGAUCUAUUUUUUUAAUCCCGUAGCGAGAUCUAUUUUUAUAAUCGCGUAGCGACUGUACGAAGGACUGAAAAAUAAGUUUGAUUACCGUAUAUAGUUAGCCAACUCGUUAAUGGAAUAAACGAUAGAGUUCUGCGAGGCAGACUAGCCUUUCACACGCACCAACUGAACCAGCUGGCAUGAUGUAUUUGAUCUUACUCCCUUGGUCCCAUGGAAAGGUAGAAAUAACCAUAUAUAGGCAUGUAAUUAUCAGUUAUACUUAUGGGAUACUUAGAUGACUUGAUGUAUGAAUCAAGAAAAUGCAUCGAUCGAGAACUUACGGGGAUCAUCUCAAUAAUUUAGAGACCAUGCGCAUAUAUAUUGUGGAAGGUGUGCGUGAGGGUCGUUAUCUAUAUCCUGUGUUAGAAAAAGAUUGCAUAUAUAGUUAAUGUUUGUCUUUCUUCGGAUGGCACGUUAGCUGACCAUUGACAACAUGUGAUGAUUUUACUAACAUCAAAAUUAGGCAUGCCCCAUUUUUUAAUUGGUGCAUGGAGUGGGAGGUUUUGGUGGGUGAGCAUUGGUGUGCAACUCGUGUGCGUGAGCAUGUGUGCGUAAGAUAAUGUGUUUUGUUAGAAAAAGAAGAUAAUGCCUCUAAACAAUCCAGAAUAGAAGGCGGGCCCUGACGACAAGAUAAUACCUUACGCGGCGAUGUCUCAACGUGUCACCUGGGGCGGCUUUUGCAGUUUCCCCGUACACACACUAAGAGCCUCCGACCCUUUUUUGUCAAACCUUCUCUUGUAGUCAUGCAUAUAUCCAUGAUGAUUUGAGUCUACUGAUUGACAGUUAGAUAUUUUGCUUGUUUGUGAGAAUUUUUAGUUUCUAUUUUUUUAGAGUGUCCACCUAGGAUCCUAGGUGGCUUCACCUGAAAGCUUCAAAAGAAGCGUCCAAAUUAGUAAUCAUAAGAUUUUCUCAAAAGAGACUUAAUUCUACCACUAUACCUUGAUUGGCGGCCCGAGCCUCUACCUUUGUCUCCACUUGACUAUUUGAGUUGGCUCAGAACGGUUCACCGCGCUAGCAACGUUACGUUUGAUCCCAAUGCCACCACUCAUGUGCGCCACCUGUAUUCUACCAAGUGGCAUGUGGUAAUGCCAUGUUUGUUUUAAUUUCGUCCAUCAGCAUUCACAAUGAUAUCAUCACCAUUAUGUAAUUAUCCCACUUUUAAUUUUCUUGCAACUCUGUGAAGUUAACAGUCUCUGAUCAAGUUUCCGAGGAUUGCUAUAUCUUUGUUUAUUAUCUACGGAAGUUGACAGCACAUCCACCAUAAUUCAUGGCCCACCAGACUCUAAGUCCACUGCGAGUAUAUAUUAAUUUGUUUUAAUCCGACUAUACUAGAUGUGUACCAAUCAUUCGAUAUGAGGGACGAACUAAUUGUUUCUUGUCGACUAUUGCACCGUACCUCUCGUUUUCCAAACAAUUAAAAGGUACCCUUCCGUGAUGGUUGUACCGAUACCGACUAUCUAUAUUAUUGCUUUCUUGAGCAUACCAAACGAGUUAAUUGGUAUGAUGAUGUUAUAGCUCAUUUAUAUAUGCUUAAAUACAUACACCGGUAGAAAACUCGCCUUUAGUCUCGGUUGGUACGUGUUAGACACCUAAUCCUUGCAUUGAUGGCUAAUCCUUCCAGCUUUUGUCUUCACGCACGCAUGCAUUGAUAGCCUCCUGCGGAUGGCCUUUCAGCUACUGCGCCGUUCAACUUCUGUGGCCUGUCCGGCUUCUUCCUUUCCCCAUAUAAUGUAAUACGUUCAACUCAAAUGAAUGAAAUCAAAUUAUGCGUGUAUUAUUCUCGCUUUCAGUAGGGGCCAAAUCUCCCGAAAAUCCAUCCGGGAUAAAGAUGAGAAAUUAAUCCAUGCGUGGCUUCAUGCAAAUUUGUUCAGAUCAGGUUUGAACAGCAUGUAAUCUUUUUCAGGCAUCUAUAUGGAGCGUGGGGGUGUUAUGUUAUCUUCUACUACACAUAUAACAUUAAAUUCAUUCAGUUUGGCUGAGAGCCCAAAAUGCAACGAAUAUGCCAUCCAACGUGAAAAAAAGAUGUGGAACAGUAUACUCUAUCUUCGAAAUUAAUUAACGAGAUUCAGCUUCAAAAGAGAUAAGAGCAGACAAGAGGCACAUGGGUGCAUGCAUCCACACCUUGGGAUGCUGCAAAAUUUGGGAUCACGUGUGCGGAUCCCUAAUUAGGAAAAAAGAAUAAUUGUGCUAGCAAAAUGUGGAACACGACUGCCGGCCCAGUUGGCGCUAAGACAUCGUACGUGCAUUAAGUCUGAGGUGCCCAACGAUCUCUUUCUUUAACUCAUGCUUGACUGUGACGGUGCUAUUAUAUAAUAUUGCAUGAUCAUCAUGAUAAGAUCGUAUAGUGACUGAGUGAGACAUGUACUAUAACUUACAUUUAAGCCUCGAACUGUGUGUCGUUACGUGAGCUGCCUCCUCUCCUCGCCUCUGAAUUAUUGAACCGUUUCCAACAGUGUUGGUCUCGACGAAAUUUGACACCAACCAGAUUUAUGAAGAAAAGAGAAUAAUACUUGGAAUUGGGAAAAGUUGAUCUCUCUUUACAAUGGGUAGGUGCUCCCCUUUUAUAGUGACCCAUGAGCCACUUUACAUUCCGAAAAUAUCCUUUCUCAACCACUACAUUCCUAGGAUAUGCCGUACAAAUUGAACUCUUCCACGUGGUCACAUUUCUCACGCCUCCUGUUUUCCAACCUCGAGACUUCAUCUUCACGCCAAGUUGAUCAUCUAGCCUCGAGGCUCCAUCCACGAUCCGGAAUGAAGGUCCAGCCUCGAGGCUCCUGCUUGUUAGAAGAACCGUCGUAUGAGACGAGGAUUGUAUCUUAGAGAUAAGAGUUGUUAUGGUUUGAGUUGGCCGGCUAGUAGAUAGAGAUAGAAUCUUGAUGUAUUUGAAUGCUGGCUAAACUUUAUCUAUAACAACAUGCAUUGUAAUCUGUUGGGACUUUCCCCCUAUAUAAACAUGCAACCACGGCGAGCCAAGAUAGGGCAACCGUGUUCAACUCUUUUGACAUGGUAAUCAGAGCCCUUCUUCCAUAAAAUACAUCUACAUCUACACCACCUGGCGCACGCCACCUUGUUGCCUGGCACACGUCAUCACCUUGCAUGCAACAGUCAUGGUGUCAUCAUCGUCAUCGUCAGCCACUGCACCCACGGCGGCGCAGCUUGGAGCUCCUGUAGCUGAAAAGCUUACAGGGGAGAAUUAUGUCUUAUGGAGGGCUCAAUUCUUGCCUGCUGUGCGGGGCGCGCAGCUCAUGGGAGUCCUCAACGGAUCUGUCAAGGAGCCCGGCCAAGACCAUGGAACUGGUGAAGGCUGACGGCAAGAAAGGGUAGCAUGACUUCAUCAACUUACUACACCAAGAUGGUGGCUAUCAAAGAUGAGUUGGCGGCAGUAGAAGUCAUUAUUGACGAUGGUGAGAUGGCAUCUUACAUACUUAAUGGUCUUGAUUUCGAAUAUAAUCCGUUUGUGUCCUCGAUGCUUGGCUGUGCUGAUUCCCUCUCUCUUUCCGAUCUAUACUCUCAUCUGUUGUUUUAUGAGAUGCGCCUGGAAGCAUAUAAUGAAGCGGGACAAUAUACAUCUUGGGCAAACUCAUCUUCUCGUGGAGGAUUUCGGGGACACGGCAAUGGCGGUCGUGGCAAUGGAGGGCGCAAUUGAGGGCGCACCAACGGUGGCCGUGGCCAGAACCGUGGUGGCCAGAACAACAGCAACAGUAGCAGUCAGCCCAAGAAAGUAAUCUGUCAAAUCUGCAAGAAUGUAUGUCCAUGAAGCACCAAGAUUCUGGUAUAGAUACGACGAAGAUGAGCAAGAAAAGGUUGCCGGCACAACAGCUACAAGCUAUGGUUAUGAUACUAACUGGUAUACAGACAGUGGCGCAACCGACCACAUUACUGGCGAGCUUGACAAGUUGACCGUCAAGGACAAGUAUAAUGGUCGAGAUCAAGUACAGGCUGCUAACGGUCCAGGUAUGAAAAUUAGUAAUAUUGAUCAUUCAACUUUACAUAUGCUGGGUAGAAAAUUGCAUCUAAACAAUAUCCUUCAUGUUCCUAUUGCUCACAAAAAUCUUGUUUCCAUCCAUAAAUUAGCUUCCGAUAACAAUGCCUUCCAUGAAUUUCAUCCAAAAUUCUUUUUCAUUAAGGCCCUAUUUGGCAUGGCUCCAACUCUAGGUGGAGCUACUCUACUCCAAAAAUCCAGGUGGAGCCAGCUUUGGGUGGAGUUGGAACUGUCUAGAUGGGGUGUUUGGCUAGAAGAGUGCAUCAGCUCCAAAAAAGACCGAUCUCAGUGUGGAUUGCCAUUGUUGCCCCAAAUUCAAGCCCCACUUUUCAUCCUCUAUAUCCCCAUCUUCUUCUUCCUCAGAAGGCGUGGAUGCAUGGAGAGAAAUCAAAUCGACUCGGCAUUAGAGCGGCGAGAUUUGGACGCGAUCGAUCAAAAUCAAUCGAUUAAAAAAAAAUCUCUCACCGCCACCAGGCUUGGGCGGCGCUGCGAAUGAUAGAGUGGCCGAGGCCACGGGCGCUGGGGAGUACGCGGCAGGCGCCUGCACCAUCGGCAGCAGCGUCAUGUUGGACACCUUGGCCGGCGCGUCCGGGUCCUCCGCGUCAGCAUCGUCAUUCUUGCCGGCUGCCGUCACCGCAUGCCGAUGCCCCAGCCUCUCAGCACCGACACGUCGUCGACUCCACUUCCUGGAAUGCCAUGCCCCCGGCCACGAUCGCCGCGCGCCAAAGUGAUCGUGGCUUUUCUAACAACCAUAUCGUAAUCAUAGGAUCUUCUCAGCGCAAAACUGUGCAGCUCCUUGCCUUUCUUUAGCAGAGCAAGUCCUGCACAAGCCCGCAGCAAGACCAACAUGCACUACUAGAGAAUUGACUUUCAAUCCCCCCCUUUUAGUCUCAAUUUAAUGUAGGCCCGAGAGAAAAGGGGGUGCGCUACGGUAGGCUGGAAUGGGGCGCACCUUUAGUCCCGGUUCAUGUUUAAAACCGGUACUAAAGCCCCCCUUUUGUCCUGAUUUGAGCGGCUAGAUUUUUGCCACCGACAGUGCCCCCCCUUUUGUCCCGGUUGGAGCCACCAACUGGGACAAAAACCUCGCCCUUUUUUUCUGGUUGGCAUUACCAACCGGGAUAAAAAGUUUACUCCUGGUUGGUAACUCAAACCGGGACAAAAGGUUGGCAUUUUCAUCCCGGUUGGAGCCACCAACCGGGAGUAAACACGAACCGGGACAAAAGAGCCAUACUUUUGUCCCGGUUUGGUUUACCAACCGGGAGAAAAUCUUUUCCCCCUUAAAGCUGCUUUCUUCCUCCUCCACUCGUCCAGCCCGAGCCACUCCACUCCACAAAGAUAGAGAAGCUCCAUCCUCUCCAUGGCGCCGAAGCAAGCCUAGGGGAGGUGCUGCCGAAUUUUUUUUCCUCAUUUUGUUGGGGACUUCACUCAUCCAAAGUGUUGUGAAGGUUAGCUACUUCAUUCUCUAUUCAUUUAUUAUUGUUAUGCUUUGUUUUAUACUUUAGAGUGGGAGAAGAAUGAGUUUGCUUGUUAGAAAGAGGGAGAAUGGAGAGGAUUUGUAUUUAUACAUGUUUUUGAGAUACAAUGUGAUGGAUAAUUUGAAUGUGAGGGAGAAUGGAGAGUAAAUGUGAGGUAGAAUGGAGAGGAUUUCAAUUUUAAGUAUUCGGAAAAACUAGAGUAAAUGUGUUUUUAAUCUUUAUACAUUAGCCAUAAAAUUAAGGUAAAUAAAUUGUAGGUGUAAUUUCAUAGUUUAGUACUUUUUAGAUAGAGUUAUGUAAUUAGCCAUUUUUAGAAUAUGUAAAUUAUGUGGGAAAUAUUGAAUUUUUUUAAUAGUUUAGUUAUUUGCAAAUAUGAGCUAAAUAAUUUGUGGUACAUAGAGAUGGCUUCUGCUGCUGGAGGUAGUGGCGAUGGUGGGGGAGAUCUUCAUUCCUCUUGCGGCAAGGGGAAAACUGUAGUUGGCCCUCACGAUAAGCCGAAGAAAAUGAGCGCGUGGGAGAAAGCAGUGCUUCGUUAUUUGCGAAGAUGUCAUGAAGAUGCUAUUGCGGCGGGUCAGGAACCUCCUUUUGGUGGUCGUUAUGCUCCACCGCCAUUCCCGGGUGUUUUAGGUCCACUUAUUAGUACUACUGUUGCAGGAGGUAUAGAUAAACCAUAUGAUAAGGCUGCGUCAGCGAAACCUUCAUCUUCGCCGCCCAAGGAUGCUUGAAAUCCUUCUAGAUAGUACUAAGUGGAUGGUUUGUCGUAGUGUAUCAUGUUGUUGUUGCUCUCAAAUUUAAAUUUGUGUAUUUCUACGUAAACUUUCAGCAACAUUUGAGUUUGUUGUAGUGUAUCAUGUUGUUUGGGUCUGAAAUUUUAAUGUGUAUUUCUAUCUAAAAUUUCAGCAAUGUGAUGGAUAGUUUGAUUGUAAUCCAUUUUAUUGACGGCUUGCGUAAUACGAUGCAGAUGGACCGGCAAUGGAUGUAUAAUGCAGACAGACGAACCAAGGUGUUUAUUGAUGGCUUGCAUAAUUUUCUCGAAGUGGCCAAAGCGAACAAGCUAGAGAACGGGUUCAUAUGUUGUCCAUGCACCCAAUGCGGUAACAACAAGGACUAUUCAAAGGCUGUCUAGGGGACUAUUCCCAGCCACUUGUUUAGAUACGGUUUCACACCUAACUAUUUGGUUUGGACCAAGCACGGUGAAAGAGGGGUUGUAAUGGAAGACGACGAAGAGGAGGAGGAUGAUGACAACAUUCCGGACUGGGGUGCAGGUCAAGCUUUUGCAGAUACUACAAUGGGCGAGGCUGAUGAAGAUGAGUUUGCAAAAGAUGGCCCUACUGAUGACCUCGGUCAGGUGCUAAGGGAUGCACCCAGAGAUUGCGAAACUGACAAGAAAGAAGCAAAGUUGCAGCGCGUGAUAGAUGAUCACCUAAAAUUGUUGUACGCAGAUUGCCAACAGGACCAUAAAAAACUGGGUACCACACUAGAAUUUAUGCAAUGGAAGGCUAAAAAUGGUGUGUCCCAUAAAGCAUUUUAGGGGAUGUUGGAAAUUGUCAAGAAGAUUUUUCCCGAGAAUAAUGAAUUGCCAUCCACAACAUAUGAAGCUAAACGGAUUGUUUUCCCUCUUUGAUUGGAGGUUCAGAAGAUACAUGCAUGCCCUAAUGAUUGUAUCCUCUAUCGCAGUGCUGAAUAUGAGGAUCUGGAUGCUUGCCCUGUGUGCGAAGCACUGUGGUAUAAGAUCAGGCGAGAUGAUCCUGGUAAUGUCGAGGGGCAACAUCCCAGGAAGAGAGUUGCCACGAAAGUGCUAUGGUAUUUCCCAGGAAGAGAGUUCCCACAUUUUGUACAAUAUUCUAUAUCACGAAUAUUUCAUAACUUGUUUGUUUCCCCACUGAAGUGCUUAAGACAGGAACACGGGAACGAUCUAUGUGGCUACUAUGUCUGUGAAAACAUGGAAAGUUUUGUAGACUUGGUCACAUACACUUGGUCCCACCCGUGAUACGAGCAGCCCAACAGCACAGUGUUCCAUGUCAGCAAGCUGGGCUCUAGCCCCGAUCUUGCCAUGCGCUUCGCGAGCUCCAGUGCGUUGUCGACAAGCCUGAGCCGCGUGCAGCACAUGAGCACCGCGUUCCACAUGACCGCCGUGGCCUCCGUCGUCUCAGCACCCAUGUGGCCACAGCGACGUCCGCGUUCUCGACGUACAUGGUGGCGAGGAACCCAGGAACGAGCGGGUGCGCGUCUACGUGGUGGGGAGCGUGGCAGUGGCAGCUUUGCUCGAUCUGGCAGCCGGAGAGUGGGACGAGACCACCACGGGGGAGACGGUCGGUGGUGGUGGCGGUGGCAAUGGGAGGAAGGCCUUGGAGAUCAAGGGAUCCAAGGUCCCCUUCCAAGAGAGAAGGGAGAUCGGGGGAGGAGACCGAUGGAGGGGAGGCGGGAGGGAGGAUGGUCGGCAGCGGGGGUAAGGAGAAAGAACAGGCGCGCGGGAGGGAGUCACGGUGCCGGAGACUCGGGAGAAAAGAAGCGAAUCAUUUUUGUGUAACUAGUGGUAUUGGUAGGUAAUUACCCACCAACUCCACGAGGAGGUUCAUAUUGGGUAGUUUUGGAGUUGCAAAAGAGGUGCUCCAAAACUCCACCCCCAUUUGCACUACAGCUCCAUGGAGUUUUGGAGUUGGGGUGUGUUGGCUGUAAAAUUGGCUAGAGUUGCUGGAGGUCAGCUCCAGAGCCAUGCCAAACACGCCCUAAGGAUCAGGAAACGAGGAAAAUCCUUCAUCAAGGUAGAUGCAAAGCAGGCCUUUAUCCAUUAGAAUCCAUCUUGUCAGAAGAAGGCGAUGACAAGAGAGUUUAUGGUGCCAUCAAACCAUCUGCUUCUAGAUGGCAUAGCCGCUUAGGCCAUCCAGCUUAUCCUAUUAUUCAGCGUGUGCUUAAUCAUAAUAAUCUUCCUUGUGGUAGUACUAAUUUUGAGUCAGUUUGUGAUUCAUGUCAAAUGGCUAAAAGCCAUCAACUUCCAUAUUCUAGUUCAAUAAAUUCGUCAAAAGCUUCGCUUGAUCUUAUUCAUUCUGAUGUUUGGGGGCUUACACCUAAUUCUGUUGGUCGAUAUUCCUACUAUGUGAGCUUUAUUGAUGAUUAUAGUAGGUUCACCUAGAUUUAUCUCCCGAAAAAGAAAUUUGAUGUCUUUCAAGUGUUCAAAGAAUUUCAGAAUCUAGUGGAGCGAAAACACAAUAAGAAAACUGUAUCCAUGCAAACCAACUGGGGAGGCGAAUAUGAGAAGUUGAAUUCCUUCUUUCAGCAAAUUGGUAUAGCACAUCGCGUCUUAUGUCCUCAUGCCCACCAGCAAAAUGGCCUCGUCGAGAGAAAGCAUCGUCAUACUGUUGAAGUUGGUCUCGCUCUUCUCGCAAAUGCUUCAAUGCCUUUAAAAUUUUGGGAUCAAGCUUUUUUGACCGCCACUUAUCUCAUUAAUAUGCUUCCCAGUAAAAUUCUUAAUUUCGAUACUCCUAUAGAACACUUGCUCCAAGAAAAGCCUGAUUACAGCUCUCGUCGCAUUUUUGGGUGCGCUUGUUGGCCUAAUUUGCAACCCUAUAAUACUCGCAAGCUAGCUUUUCGUUCUGUUAAAUGCACCUUUCCUAGUUACAGUUUCAUGCAUAAAGGCUUCAAGUGCUUAGAUCCCUCUACCGGCAGAAUUUAUAUCUCCCGAGAUGUUGUUUUCGAUGAAUCGAUCUUUCCGUUUGCUCACUUACAUCCCAAUGCAGGCGCCCUUCUCAGUAAAGAGAUUCUUCUUUUACCUGACCAUCUUCGUAAUCCGGGGGAUGUAAGUUGCAUAGACAAUAUUACUAUACUACUGACCGUUUGCAUGAUAGUAAUGCGCAAGAUGUUUUUCAGGGGAAACUGUCACCGGGCUGGGCGCACGGUGACGCAGAAAAUCACGGCGGCACAUUCCAGGAGGAUUUGAUGCCAGGUGCCGACGGUCCAGGCGUUGACUCCCAGGGAGAUUCGGCGGCAGCAUCCGUUUUGCUCCCCUCCUUCCCAGCAGUGCCCAUGUCGUCGAAUACAUCUCCGACGCGUGGCUCCACGACAUGCCCAGCGCCCGCACCCGGCGCUCCUCCGUCGCCGCAUGGCCCCGCACUUGGCCAAUCGCCUGCGCCAGCCGCCGGGAGUCCGACGCGUGGGGGGGGACCCAUCUAUCACGCCAGACAGUCUCCCACCCGUGCCUGCUGCCCCGAGUCGUGCUAGCGCUGGAUCCUCUUCGGGAAGCGGAUCCGGUGUGGAAUCUAUGCCUGGUCAGGCCAGUUCUUUGGCGCUGGCUGCCCCUGCGCCGUCUAUUUCAGUGCCAAGACAACGGACACGGCUUCAAAGUGGGAUUACGAAACUUACAUAGUUCCAGGACAUGAUCAGGUAUGGGUUGUUCUUAGCUUCUGCGGAACCACAGGAUUUUCAUGAAACUCUAAAUGAUUAUAGAUGGAAAAAAGGCUAUGCAAGAUGAAUUUGAUGCUCUCAUUAGAAAUCAAACUUGGCACUUAGUUCCUGAAAUAAAGGGUAACAAUAUUAUUGAUUGCAAGUGGGUAUUCAAAAUCAAGAAAAAAUCAGAUGGUACCAUAGAUAGAUAUAAAGCAAGGCUAGUUGUAAAGGGUUUUCAGCAACGGUAUGGCAUUGAUUAUGAGGAUACUUUCAGUCCAGUGGUUAAGAUUGCAACUGUCAGGCUUGUCCUCUCAAUUGCUAUUUCGAAAGGGUGGUGUCCAAGAUAGUUAGAUGUAUAGAAUGUGUUUCUUCAUGGUGUUCUGGAAAAAGAAGUUUAUAUGAGGCAACCUGCAGGAUUUGAAAAAGGAGCUUUGCAUCUUGUGUGGAAAUUGGACAAGGCUAUCUACGGCUUGAAACAAGCCCCGCGAGCUUGGUAUGCUAAGUUAUGUUCCAAACUUAUUGCACUUGGAUUUGUUGCAUCUAUAUCAGACACUUCGUUAUUCAUCUAUCAAAGAUUGGGUGUCAUAAUUUAUAUGUUGAUUUAUGUUGAUGAUACAAUUGUGACAAGUUCAUCAAGUGAAGCUGUUACGACGUUGCUUGCUGAUCUCAAGAAGGAUUUUGCUCUAAAAGAUCUGGGGGACCUCAGUUACUUCCUGGGUAUUUAAAUUAAAAGAGAAAAGAAUACUCUGCUGCUAACACAAGAAAAGUAUGCAAAGGAGAUUUUGUCACGGGUUGGUAUGGAGAAUUGCAAACCAUCAUCUACACCAUUGUCUACUAGUGAGAAACUUUCAAAGUAUGAAGGGGAGUUGCUGAAUUCAAGCGAUAGUACGAGGUACAGAAGCGUCGUUGGUGCAUUGCAAUAUCUCACUCCUACCUGACCGGAUCUAGCAUUCUCUGUGAACAAAGUGUGUCAAUUUCUACAUGCUCCUACCACGGUUCAUUGGACUGCUGUAAAAAGGAUACUUCGGUAUGUCAAGUUCACAUUGGAUCUUGGACUAAAUUUUCAGGCGUCAUCCUCCACCUUGGUUAUUGCUUUCUGUGAUGCUGAUUGGGCAGGAAGUGUUGAUGAUAGAAGAUCUAUCGGAGGGUUUGCAGUUUUCUUUGGUCUGAACUUGAUUUCUUAGAGUGCUAGAAACCAAGCCACUAUCUCAAGAUCAAGUACAGAAGUUGAAUACAAGUCUAUGGCAAAUGCAACUGCAGAGUUAAUAUGGUUGGAAUCCUUGCUAAAGGAGCUGGGUAUACGGCUGCAUCAACCACCAUAUUUACAGUGUGACAAUUUGGGAGCUACAUAUUUGUCUGCCAAUCCAGUCUUUCAUGCGAGAGCAAAGCAUAUAGAAAUUGAUUUUCACUUUGUUCGCGAGCGUGUGGUAAAUAAAAAGCUGCAGGUGCUGUUGGUUGCUUCCAGAGACCAGCUUGCGGACUGUUUACCAAAGCCUUGCCGUGCGGAUUGCUGGAAGCUUUCAAGAGCAAUCUAAAUAUCAAAAGGAAGAGAAGUUUAGAUUGAGAGGGACUGUUAGAAGAACCGUCGUAUGAGACGAGGAUUGUAUCUUAGAGAUAAGAGUUGUUGGUUUGAGUUGGCCGGCUAGUAGAUAGACAUAGAAUCUUGAUGUAUUUGAAUGCUGGUUAACUCUAUCUGUAACAACAUGCAUUGUAAUCUCUUGGGACCUUCCCCCUAUAUAAACGUGCAACCACGGCGAGCCAAGAUAGGGCAACCGUGUUCAACUCUUUUGACACUGCUUCGUUAAGCUUUGUUGAGAACUCAUAAACUCACAUAGUUCUCCUCUGAGUAUUGUUCCUAACUAAAGAGUAAAAAGGUAAAAGCUCGGUGCCCGGAACCGACUCAGAACACUCGAGGCUUAACUUAGUUGGAGUUUAGCUAUUACCGUUGCCAGUGACCAGCCUCGAGCCCCUCUAGAAGCAAGGUGAUGUGAGGGUGCGAGUUUUACUAUAAGAGGUGUCCCCAUAGAACGUGCGAGGUUAAAGGUGUUCUGUUACUUUUCCUGCCGACGCAUAACUUGCAAGGUUAAGGGGUUUUUAUCCCACAAACGGUGCUCCAGGAUGUUCAGAUUUUUGGGAUCCCCAACAAACAUAAAUCUUGAGUGGCUCUAAAUUGUUGUUGGCCACAUCAUACCUUGUCUUGGGCUGCUGGGUCGUGUUGUGCACCACGAGUGCACGAUCAGACAUCCUGCAUUGUUAAGUCUUCGAUGAUACGGCUGCCUUGCUUCCUCAGCUUGUCAGCAACUGCUUCCUGACUGCUACAGUACAAUUAUUGCAUGGUAUCAAGGUAAUAUAUAUAGUGACUGAAUGAGCACAUAUAACAUAUGCAUUUAGGCCUCCAACUGGUCAUUGCACGAGCUGCCUCCUCUCCUUACCUCUGAAUUAUGGAGCCAUAUCCAACAACAACCUUGACAGUGAUGAUGAUGACGACGACGAUGAAAUUAAGAAAAGAAGCUUUAUGCAAAUUGCAAAAAGCUGAAAUAAGUGGUUGAAACAUUUCAAAUCACCAAAUGCCACAUUUGAAAUGACUAGAUGAAACAUCAUGAAAUCAAUUGCAACAGUUGAAGAUGAAAACAUUCAAACGCCUUGCCUUUCUCCAGAUUUGAUCCUCCAAGCAUAUAUGAGUCCAGACAUUUGCACAUUAGACCCUAGGGAGGAGCUCACCGGAGAACAACAAGACCGUGUUCUCCAACAAUUUUCCGAUCAAAUUGCAACAUAAAAAACAAAGCAUUGCAACACAUCUGGCAUCGCGAGCAACAACAUCAACCAGUUAGGAUCAGGAGAAAGAGGGCAAACCCAAGCCUAGCAAUGAGUUAUAUCCAGUUUAAACGAGGAUAAAAAUGAGUGUAUUUUCCACUCAUCAUGUUGUCUUUUCGCAGCUGUACCGCCUUUAGUGUGUUGUAUUGUUCCCCUAACACCAAGUCUCCGAGGCCCGAGAAAAUAAGGAAAGUGAUAGCAGCCCAGAAAUCGACCAAGUUUCUUUCCCCCUUUGGCAUUCCUACUAGAAUUCGGAAUACUCUUUCGCAUGACAAUCAUAAUUAUCUCCCACAAUCCAAAACUCACAAAAACAUCAAAAAUCUGCCGAGAAUAAAUUAAGUAAAAAACAUGCACAAACAGAUAAUAAUAAUAAUCAUGUUUCAAUAAAAUUGCUAAGGCCAGAGACAAUACAUAAACAUAUUAGACUGUUCAUGACACAUAUCACGGUGGACAGUGUCUGUGUCCUUAUUACAAGCAGCGAGAGGAAUUAAAUAUGCUUGUCACCACACACACGCGCGCGCAGAUGCACGACACACAUAUAGUUGAGACCAACAGAUGGACCUCGACUAGAGGUCGCCCCAUAUGGUGAACAAUUUAUUGGAGAUAAACAUGAACAUAACUUGGCCAUAGCUUGAAGCAUAGCAACAUAUGCCUAUGAAUGGCAUUCAUGCUGGUAGCAAUGCAAUCAUAUCGUUUUAGGCUUGUCCAGCUUCUUCCAUCUUAGCAAGCACUGCCAUUUCUUCCAUCUUAGCAGCAACUGUCAAAUUGAGAUAUGGAAAUCCCAUUAGCGCAUGAGUUAAUUUUGCAGUGGAAAUAGAGUACAAGAUGUCUUCAUGAUGUAAGUAAUAUGCCUGAAGUUGUGAGAUGGGAAGUGAAGUCAACAAAUUACAUUAACGGAAAUGCAUGGAAGGCCACACAUACGUAUUAGUCCACGAUAUGCUACAAAGCUUGUAUGUACAUAUAACAAAUUAAAUGCAUUGAAUAGAGUGAGUUUACUGAAUUUACCAGAAUCGGACAGAACACAUGGGAAACAGCAAGUGUUCUUGCAGAGUGAGUCGGAGCCACCUGCAGUAAUACAAGCAAAACAACAUGCUUUUGCCCGGGCGGAUACGCAGCAGCUGCACUGUGCCGCGGUGGCCGGGUUAACAUUGAGGCUCAAGAUGACCAGGCACAUGAUCACCAUCAAAGCGGUAGUCCUCUUUCCCUCCAUUGCCUCCUCUUUCUGCUACCUUCCUUGGUUACCUAGCUAAGUUUAUUAGUUUUGUGUUGAGAGGUGAUUCUUGAAUGGACGUUGCCGGCUGCAAUUUAUAGGCAGCUGCGCUAUGUGAUGAUAUGGACAAGGUGCAAAUGGGUGGUCCAAUGGCAAGGAAAGGGGGUAUUCUGCUUGACAUUGGCAUCAGACAAAGCCCAAUGGCAACUGCUGACACGCGAUUAAAAUCAGAUCCGCAUCUUAUCCAUCCAUUCACUAAUAAUUAAAGUAAACCCACGCGGUCCGCGAGAUGCAGCGUCCAUGCAUAGCACUUCCCGCCAAACAAUAGGAAAAAUUAGAAUUCAGAGAUAGGAGCUGCUUGCAUGAAACACGGUUGCACAGAAAUCAGUGGUGCUUGGACGGUAAGUAGUGUGGUGUACAAGCUUAAAGCGGCAGUGAGUCACGUUGGUGUAACAAGCAGUACAUCAGCUGGAAGAUUGAUAUGUCUAUUGCCCACGCAGCAUAGCAUUUUAUUAUGAUACAUUGAGUUAUGUCAUAUUGUUACUUUAAGUUAUUUUUUAAGUAUUAGUUGUAGACAAUUUAGUUGCAAAUUUAAGCGGUUAUUUUAAAUUAUUUUUUAUAAUGGCAUAAGUGGGUAAUUUAGAUGAAGAUUAGGGGGUUACUUUAGCUUAUUUUAUAUAAUAGCAGAGGUGGGUAAUUUAGAUAUAAAUUUAGGGUUACUUUAGGCUAUUUUCUUAAUGGCAUAGGUGGGUAAUUUUUUUAGAAAUUAUAAUAGAUCCAAUGGCUACGAUGUUUGAGUCUACUCGUUGAUGGCAAGAUGUUUUGCUUGUUUGUGGAAAUUUUAAAUAUGUCUCUUUUUUGUAGAGUGUCCACGUAGGAUCCUAGGUGGCUUCGCUUGGAGGCUUCAAAAGGAGGUCCAAAAUUAGUAAUAGUAUGAUUUUCUCAAAAGAGACUUAAUUCUACCACUGUAACUUGAUUGGCCGCCCCGGCCUCUACCUUUUGCCUCCAUUUGACUAUUUGAGUUGGCUGUGAACGAUUCUCGGCGCUAGCAACGUUACGUGUGAUCCAAAUGCCAGCACUCAUGUGCGCCACCUGUAUUCUAUGGGAAUGCCAUGAUGCAUGUGCAGUAACAGCGCGCACAUCUUGCAGGAUUCGCGCCUCGUUUUCACUAUUGUGUCAUCUUAGCAAUUAGGAGCGAAGUGUGCUUUGGGGUGGCAAUUGGGAUAUAGACAUUAUUCUCGAAAAGAAUCUUGAAGUCUUACAUUCACCCCCUCCGGUCGCCGGUUCCGAUCCUUCACCUAUAAAUUAGGAGUAGUAGUAGGUAGUAAGUGGCAGGUUAGGUAAGUACCCGUUGAUGAAUGUUGGCUUGGCGUGAUUGGCUCUGCUGGUUCCACGAAGAUGCCAAUAUACAGCAAGGACCUAGGUCCAAAGGGAAAAACAACCAACAAGUGGGUUUGUUGCCGACCGCUAGCUAAUCAACAGUGACGUACGGGUGGAUUCGUGCGUAAAUAUUUUUUCAAUCAUGCCAUCAGGCCGCUGAUAAAAUGGGCUUAUGGUUGGCUAACCUUUAAAACAUUCUUAGAGCUGUUGGCCAUUGUGAUAACUUUGCACGUGCAUCAUUAACAUGCCAACAUACAACAAGGACAUAAGACCAAAGGAAAGAACAACCAACAAGUGCCUUUGCUGAUCGGUCAGGUCUCAGAGUUUGAGAAACUGGAUCUGACGGAUGUGAAAUUAAUCCAUGCGUGGCCUCAUGCAAAUUUGUUCACAGGUUUGAACAGCAUGUAAUCUUUUUCAGGCAUCUAUAUGGAGCGUGGGUGUGUUAUGUUAUCUUCUACUACACAUAUAACAUCAAAUUCAUUCAGUUUGCCCGAGAGCCCAAAAUGCAACGAAUAUGCCAUCCAACGUGAAAAAAAAGAGAUGAGGAACAGUAUACUCUAUCUUCGAAAUUAGUCAACGAGAUGCAGCUUCAAAAGAGAUAAGAGCAGACAAGAGACACCAUGGGAUGCUGCAAAAUUUGGGAUCACGUGUGCAGAUCCCUUAUUAGGAAAAAAGAAUAAUUGAGCUAGCAACAAUAGUAGGACAUCUCCAUGCUCACCUAGUAUAGUAGCCACUUCUAGUGCGCGUGGAACACGACUGCCGGCCCAGUUGGCGCUAAGACAUCGUACGUGCAUUAAGUCUGAGGUGCUAGGACAGCUUCCUCUUGCUUCCCCACCAAAUCAUGAGCAACGAUCUCUUUCUUUCUAACUCAUGCUUGACUGUGACGGUGCUAUUAUAUAUUAUUGCAUGAUCAUCAAGAUAAGAUCGUAUAGUGACUGAGUGAGACAUCUAUGUACUAACUUGCAUUUAAGCCUCGAACUGUGUGUCAUUACGUGAGCUGCCUCCUGUCCUCGCCUCUGAAUUAUUGAACCGUUCCCAACAGCUUGGUCUCAAAGGAAUUUGACACCAAACAGAUUGAUAAAGAAAAGAGAAUAAUACUUGGAAUUGGAAAAAGUUGAUCUCUCUAUACAAUGAGGUAGGGCUCCCCUUUUAUAGUGACCCAUCAGCCACUUUACAUUCCGAAAAUGUCCUUCCUCAACCACUACAUUCUUAGGAUAUGCCAUACAUAAAUGUCAUUUGAGGUGACGUGUACAAAUUGAACUCUUCCACAUGGUCACGUUUCUCACGCCUCUUGUUUUCCAACCUCGAGACUUCAUCUUCAUGCCAAGUUGAUCAUCUAGCCUCGAGGCUCCAUCUACGAUCCGGAAUGAACGUACAGCCUCGAGGCUCCUGCUUCGUUAAGCUUUGUUGAGAACUCAUAACCUCACAUAGUUCUCCUCCGAGUAUUGUAUCUGACUAAAGAGUAAAAAGGUAAAAGCUCGGUGCCCGGAACCGACUGAGAACACUCGAGGCUUAGCUCAGUUGGAGUUUAGCUAUUACCGUUGCCAGUCACCAGCCUCGAGCCCCUCCAGAAACAAGGUGAUGCGAGAGUACGAGUUUUACUAUUAGAGGUGUCCCCAUAGAACGUGCGAGGUUAAUGAGUUCAGUUUCUUUUACUGCCGACGCAUAACAUGCGAGGAUCAACGAAUAUGAGGAACACUAUAUGCCAUCCAACGGGGGAAAAAAAAAGAUGAGGAACAGUAUACUCUAUCUUCGAAAUUAGUUAUAAAGAUUCAGCUUCAAAAGAGAUAACGAGGCGUCCAAGACUCGAGGAGCCAGUCAAGAGCAGACAAGAGGCACAUGAGUGCAUGCAUCCACACCUUGGGAUGCUGCAAACUUUUAUGAGGCUGCAAGCUGCAUACAUAAGUUUAUUUCACCUUUGUUCACAAUACUCUUCACACACCAUUCACACACGUCUCAGGGAGCUCUGCAGCAAUGGUGGAGAUCUUAGCUAGACUGCUCACUUCCCUUGUUGUCGCUAUUGCUAAAAACACAAGCUCACCUCUGCUAUUGCGAAGCAGACCAAUUUGCUGUGGAACUUUGGCGACGACCUGAAGGACAUGAAGUCGGUGCUGGAGUCCAUCUCAGCAGCGCUCCAGGACGCUGACACUGCUAGAAAAACAACCUUUCAUCCUCAACAAAAGUCCCGAUAGCUUUUUUACCUGGAACUAAAGAGGUUUUAGUGCUGCGCAAACACCUUUAGUCCGGGUUGCUGUUACCAACCAAGAGUAAAGGGUACGAUGGCACCAACCGGGACUAAAGCACCCCCCACGAGUUACUAUAAAGGAUUGCAUCCUCCACUUAGUCAGAUUUACUGUGUAGGUGAGAUGGUAAGGAAGCUAUGCGCGAGGCUUGAGAUCAUCGGUUCGAAUCCCACGCACCGCGCGCGCACGCGCAUAGUUUGAGUGAAAAAUCAUGUCACUUGUGAUCGGCCAAGGAGAAGUGGGUGCAGAUGUGGCUUAAGCGGCUGAGGCACGCCGCCAUAGACAUCUUGGAUUUGCUCGAAGACUACCAAGACACUAGUGAACCCUUAACAGCAAAGGUGAGUACUUAUGCAUGUCAACAUCUAUGUUGUCCAUGCUUCCAAUGCAAUAAGAAGAAGGACUACUCUUCCUAGCGGACUCUUCACAACCACUCAUAAAGCUAUGUGUUUCUCAAUGCAAUUUCGUAGAAGGCAAUGGAUCCAACCAACCGACUAAAUCAUUCGUCCUUGCCAAUGAUGUGCUUCAGGUUUUCCAUAUGAAGGACAUGUGACUACUAGAAAAACGAUCUUUCAUCCCUAGCCUUAGUACCGGUUGCAUUUGGAACCGGUACUAAUGUUUACAUUAGUACCAGUUCCAAAGGAUACUGUCCGGAGCGCACCUCGAUGACCCCUUUAGUACCGGUUGGGGGCAACAACCGGUACUAAAGGGUGAGCAUUAGUACCGGUUGUUACCUUAAUCCGGUACUAAAGGGCUACCCACCCUCUAUUACCGGUUGGUGGCAUCAACCGGUACUAAAAGGGAUACCCUCUAGCACCGGUUGCUGCCACAACCCGGUACUAGUGCGGCGCCAUGCAGAAUAGAAGGUAGAUCGAUUGUACAUGGAGGGGGAACAAAGGGAGAAAGGCAAAUCAUCAGCUUAUUAUCACAUGGUAGACUAGUCUUUAAAACAUGUUUAGGGCAGAGCACAUUACGUUUAUCUUGUUUUGCACAACAACAAAUGUGACCUUUAGAAGAUAGCCCUCCUCUAAUUAAACUAGUGCACUAUUACAGGAUGGUAUCGCACGCUUCCUUUUUCCCUAUGAAAAUGAAGUUUUUAAUGAUCUGAUAGCAGCUGGCAAAACAAAUGAUUGCAAAGAUGUUUGCAGAUGAUAAUGAUACUUAUGACCACUCUGAUGAUGAAGAGAUAGAGGAACAUUUGGUCCGUCAACGUAUUUCAAAUUAACACGUCAAAUCGCACUCAAGACCUCUCACCAACUCCUCCACCAGUUUCCAAAGGCAAAUCAACUUAUUAUCGCAUGCAUGGUAGUGUCUUUGAAACAUGUUUAGGGCACAACACAUUACGUUUAUCAUCUUUUGCACAACAUUAAAUGGACCUUUGGAAGAUAGCCCUCCUCUAAACUUGUGAUGCAUUGUAAUGAUAUGUCAUGUAUAUAUGUCUCACUUGUAUCAUAGCUGUUAAAGUACCACGUCAAAUUGCACUUGCGGUGAGAUCUCUCUGACCAAGUCCUCCACCACUUUCCAAGGCAAAUCAGACAAACUCCUUGUUAUAUUCCACAUAUUGGUUUCAUCCUUAUAUAGAUGUCCAUGUAUACUCUUUUGUUUGUCUACUCAACUUAUCACAUUGUCGUAGUGUCUUUGAAACAUGUUUAGGGAAAGUCCAUAGUGGAGGGUAGUAAAUGUCAAAGGGAGUUUGUAAGGAUAAGACAACACAAAUUUUGUAAGGGUAUUCUAAAGCAUUUGAUUCUAAACUAUCCGCGAGACCUCUCACAACCUCCUCCACCACUUUCCAAGAUAAUAUACAAUCAAAUUCCUUGUAGGAGUUUGGAUGUUGGACCAAUGGGAAGUUGACGAAAGAGUGGGACAAAAAUGUGACUCGAUCAUGUCAUUGUGGGCAAAGGUCCUGGUAGCUCAUGGAACAGAUCAUUUGAAGUACACAGGAUAGGGAGGCAAUAGUCGGCACAAGGAGAGGCAUGACCAGAAGCUUGAAAGAAGUAAACUUCAAAGCUAGGAGGAAUGUUAUUCUUGCUGGUUCAAUGUGUCUUCUUAUAGAUCAGUUCAUAGAUCUUAUGUAUUUGGCUGUGAUGAAAGCUAUGGAGCCCUCCCAGCCCCUUCGAGCUGAUGCUAAGCCCAAUCUAAACUGCAUAUGGAAUGUGAAAACUCUUUCUGCAAUGAGCCAAGCUAUCAAUCCAUACCUGUGAGGCAACAUCUCGAUUCUGUGGCUACUGACUGAGGUAUUUGGCAUAGAGUAGACCAAUGGUGCAUUGUGAAUAAGCUUAUUAGAAUGUGAAUAAGUCAGAAUUCUUGCUCGUCCUCCAUUUGUUCGCUCUCUGUUCUUUUGUUUACAAGGGACUCGGUUGAUCCGCGGGACCUCUCACCAACUCCUUCACCACUUUCCAAGGCAAAUCAGCUUAUCACAUGUGGUAGUAUCUUUGAAACAUGUUUAGGGCACAAGAGGAAGGCAUAGUGCUGGAAAAACGGUUAAUGGGGUGGCGGACGGCGGGAUGCUUCGCAUUCUCGUAUGAAGGAAGCUCCAUCAACUAGAUUGACGGUCAAGUUGCAUGAAGCAGAUGCCACAGUCGACGGAGAGAGCAUCUGGGUCUAACCAUAAUAACACAAGUCUUUCCUUUAGAUAACAUGCCAUCAGAUUCCUUGCAAGAGUUUGUAUGUUCGACCAACAGGAAGUUGACGAAAGAGUGGGACAAAAAUGUGACUCGAUCAUGUCAUUGUGGGCAAAGGUCCUAGUAGCUCAUGGAAUAGAUGAUAUCAUUUGAAGUACAUAGGACAGAGAGGCCAUAGUCGGCACAAGGAGAAGCAUGACCAGAAACUUGAAAGAGGUAAGCUUCAAAGCUAGGAGGAAUGUUAUUCUUGCUAGUUCAAUGGUGUCUUCUUAUAUAUCAGUUCAUAGAUCUUAUAUAUUUGGCCGUGAUGACAGCUAUGGAUCCCUCCGAGCCCCUUUGAGCCGAUGCCAAGCCCAAUCUGAACUGCACAUGGAACGUGAAAACUCUUUCUGCAAUGAGCCAAGCUAUCAAUAUCCAUCCCUGUGAGCCAACAUCUUGAUUCUGUGGCUACUGACUGAGGUAUUUGUCGUAGUGUCUUUGAAACAAGUCAAACACCUCACCAGGGGAUCAAGCUCCACGAGAACGAGAGCUACUUUCAGAUCCAGGAUAUUAAUCAACAAGUCAAACACCUUCCCAGGGGAUCAAGCUCCAUGAGAACGAGAGCUACUUUCAGUUCCAAGAUAUUAAUCAACAAGUCAAACACCUAACCAGGGGAUCAAGCUCCACGAGAACGAGAGCUACUUUCAGUUCUAGGAUAUGGGCAUAGCUGUGAGGGGGGCCACAACGCCCCUUUAUAUAAGGGCUACUGGUUUUGCCCUUGCCUUGUGAAGUUGUGCCACAUAACUCCCAAAAUCCCUCAAGAAAGAUAACACCACAAGCAGGAAGCCAAGUAGCUAUGGAACCUGUGACAGAUAUAGCUUCCUCAUUAUGUGACUCAUGUCAUUGUGGGUGCGGGGUGACCUUGAUCUACAACUUUGUAGUUGAAACAUUUUUCAUUUGGUGUCAUCUUGGUGCUCAAAUAAUCGACACGAACUAAAACUUGGCACCACACAUUCAAAAAAUAAUAAAAUUUAUAUGAACUCAGAUAUAGAUAAAAUUUAUAUCAAAAUUGUUGAUCUCAACGAGAUUUACAACUUUGUAGUUCAAAUUAUUUUCAUUUGGAGCCAUCUUGGUGCUCAAAUAAUCGAAACAUUUUCUAGAUCUAAAAUUUAAUUUUAGAUCGGAAACUUGUGUCGAUUAUUUGAGCACCAAGAUAAUACCAAAUGAAAAAUGUUUGAACUACAAAGUUGUAGAUCUCAUCGAGAUCUACAAUUUUCAUAUAAAGUUUAUCUCCAUCCGAGUUCAUAUGAAUUAGUUCAACCGGCGAUAAGGCUGCUACAGUGUAGCUUCCGCCGUUUCAAAUGGCGGUAUAGGUUUAGAUUAGCAAUUUUUGUAACCCAUAUAUUUUUGCAAAAUACUAAAAUAAAAAAUAUAAAAAUAAAAAAAAUCUAGUUUUAAUCAGCAAUGACUAAAUGUUAGCCCGGUUAUGCCCCAUCUUAGGUCUAAUCAUGGACCAAUAAAACAUGUGCUAGAAUUCAUGGCCACCGGAUGCGUGUUCGACCAUGUAAUCGUAUGCUAUACCUCACAGGAGGUUGAAAAUGGCCUGAAGGGGUACAGUGGAUGAAAACGUCGGGGACGCUCGGAACACAAGAAAAUGACCACCAGAUACAUGUUUGGCCAUUGUAACUGUGCUCUAUAGUUGAUAGGUUGAAAGCGGCUCGAAGAGGCAUCAGGGAUGGAAACAUGGGGGAUGGUUGGAACACUUGAAAAUGGCACUGGAUAAGUGUGCUUAUUCCUUACAAAAUGCUGAAAAUGGCUCAGAAGGGUCAUCGAGGAUGGAAACUAGGUGGUCAAUAAGUGAAAAUGGGCAGCGGACAUGUUCAGUCAUGUAACCGUGUGCUAUAGUCCACUAGAGGUCGGAAAGCUGCCCUAGGGGCUCUAGAGACGAAAACGUGAGGAAUAGCUGAAAGGUUACGUGUUUGGUCAUGACAGCCCUAUUAGGAAGCGAUAGAAGUGGAAAGAUAGCUGGUUUCAGAUUGGCAACCCAUCUUUUGCUUCCCCCUUACUUCCAUACGUAAUCCAUGGGCAUCGAAUUUAAAAGUAUACAAAUCACUUUUAGAUGUAAUUGAGGGUAAAGAGGGGAGGUUUCGUGAGACUCUACAAUGUUCAAAUCGUUCGUUCGUUAGGAUGCCUCAGCUACAUACAUCAUUGCACUUCCAGUUGACACCAAUUUAAAUGGUUCGUCUAGCCGCUACAAGGUAUCAUCAGAUAUAGAAGAAUUAGAGACUGGGGGUAAUAGCAAAAAAGGAAUAUAACUCGUCCGAGAAAGUGGGUGCAGGGGCAGUGGGGUAAGGUAAUUGAAGUAACUAGCCAGUUUCUUCCCGAAACUUCCCAAGAAAAAUCCCGAAUUGGAUCCAAAAUUGACGGAUUAAUCAACCAAAAUAACCGUGAGCAGCCACAAUGUUAUAAGUCCCUUCUUCUUGACCAAAUUUGUAACCCUUAUUAGCAGACUCAUUUUCAGUGGUUUCUUUCCCUGAUCAAACUAGAGGUUACCAAGGAACCGUGUGCUCUAGCCCACAGGUGGCCGAAAACGGCGAAGAAGGGCUUCGGGGAUGGAAACAACGUGGAUGGUCAGAACACGUGAGAAUGACCACGGGAUGCAUGUUUGGCCCUGUAACAGUGUGCUAUAGGAAGCCGGAAAUGGCCAGGAGGGUCACCAGGGAUGAAGAUGCAGGGAUGGAUGGAACACGCGAAAAUGGCCACCAGUGAUUAGUGGCAGGUCUACAGAGAUAUCUCAUCAAAUCGGUGAUUUAUAUCCGAUUUAAACGAGGAUAAAAAUGAGUGUAUUUUCCACCCAUCAUGUUGACUUUUCGCAGCUAUACUGCCUUUAGUGUGUUGUAUUGUUCCCAUGACACCAAGUCUCCAAGGCCCGAGAAAAUAAGGAAAGUGAUAGCAGCCUAGAAAUCGACCAAGUUUCUUUCCCCCUUUGGCAUUCCUACUAGGAUUCGGAAUACUCUUUCGCAUGACAAUCAUAAUUAUCUCCCAUAAUCCAAAACUCACAAAAACAUCAAAAAUCCGCCGAGAAUAAAUUAAGUAAAAAACAGGCACACAUAGAUAAUAAUAAUAAUAAUAAUAAUCAUGUUUCUAUAAAAUUGCUAAGGCCAGAGAUAAUACAUAAAAAUAUUAGACUGCUCAUGACACAUAUCACGGUGGACAAUGUCUGUGUCCUUAUUACAAGCAGCGAGAGGAAUUAAACAUGCUUGUCACCACACACACGAGCGCACAGAUGCACGACACACAUAUAGUUGAGACCAACAGAUGGACCUCGACUACAGGUCGCCCCAUAUGGUGAACAAUUUAUUGGAGAUAAACAUGAACAUAACUUGGCCAUAGCUUGAAGCAUAGCAACAUAUGCCUAUGAAUGGCAUUCAUGCUGGUAGCAAUGCAAUCAUAUCGUUUUAGGCCUGUCCAGCUUCUUCCAUCUUAGCAAGCACUGCCAUUUCUUCCAUCUUAGCAGCAACUGUCAAAUUGAGAUAUGGAAAUCCCAUUAGCGCAUGAGUUAAUUUUGCAGUGGAAAUAGAGUACAAGAUGUCUUCAUGAUGUAAGUAAUAUGCCUGAAGUUGUGAGAUGGGAAGUGAAGUCAACAAAUUACAUUAACGGAAAUGCAUGGAAGGCCACACAUACGUAUUAGUCCACGAUAUGCUACAAAGCUUGUAUGUACAUAUAACAAAUUAAAUGCAUUGAAUAGAGUGAGUUUACUGAAUUUACCAGAAUCGGACAGAACACAUGGGAAACAGCAAGUGUUCUUGCAGAGUGAGUCGGAGCCACCUGCAGUAAUACAAGCAAAACAACAUGCUUUUGCCCGGGCGGAUACGCAGCAGCUGCACUGUGCCGCGGUGGCCGGGUUAACAUUGAGGCUCAAGAUGACCAGGCACAUGAUCACCAUCAAAGCGGUAGUCCUCUUUCCCUCCAUUGCCUCCUCUUUCUGCUACCUUCCUUGGUUACCUAGCUAAGUUUAUUGGUUUUGUGUUGAGAGGUGAUUCUUGAAUGGACGUUGCCGGCUGCAAUUUAUAGGCAGCUGCGCUAUGUGAUGAUAUGGACAAGGUGCAAAUGGGUGGUCCAAUGGCAAGGAAAGGGGGUAUUCUGCUUGACAUUGGCAUCAGACAAAGCCCAAUGGCAACUGCUGACACGCGAUUAAAAUCAGAUCCGCAUCUUAUCCAGCCAUUCACUAAUAAUUAAAGUAAACCCACGCGGUCCGCGAGAUGCAGCGUCCAUGCAUAGCACUUCCCGCCAAACAAUAGGAAAAAUUAGAAUUCAGAGAUAGCAGCUGCUUGCAUGAAACACGGUUGCACAGAAAUCAGUGGUGCUUGGACGGUAAGUAGUGUGGUGUACAAGCUUAAAGCGGCAGUGAGUCAGGUUAGUGUAACAAGCAGUACAUCAGCUGGAAGAUUGAUAUGUCUAUUGCCCACGCAGCAUAGCAUUUUAUUAUGAUACAUUGAGUUAUGUCAUAUUGUUACUUUAAGUUAUUUUUUAAGUAUUAGUUGUAGACAAUUUAGUUGCAAAUUUAAGCGGUUAUUUUAAAUUAUUUUUUAUAAUGGCAUAAGUGGGUAAUUUAGAUGAAGAUUAGGGGGUUACUUUAGCUUAUUUUAUAUAAUAGCAGAGGUGGGUAAUUUAGAUAUAAAUUUAGGGUUACUUUAGGCUAUUUUCUUAAUGGCAUAGGUGGGUAAUUUUUUUAGAAAUUAUAAUAGAUCUAAUGGCUACGAUGUUUGAGUCUACUCGUUGAUGGCAAGAUAUUUUGCUUGUUUGUGGAAAUUUUAAAUAUGUCUCUUUUUUGUAGAGUGUCCACCUAGGAUCCUAGGUGGCUUCGCUUGGAGGCUUCAAAAGGAGCUCCAAAAUUAGUAAUAGUAUGAUUUUCUCAAAAGAGACUUAAUUCUACCACUGUAACUUGAUUGGCCACCCUGGCCUCUACCUUUUCCCUCCAUUUGACUAUUUGAGUUGGCUGUGAACGAUUCUCGGCGCUAGCAACGUUACGUGUGAUCCAAAUGCCAGCACUCAUGUGCGCCACCUGUAUUCUAUGGGAAUGCCAUGAUGCAUGUGCAGUAACAGCGCGCACAUCUUGCAGGAUUCGCGCCUCGUUUUCACUAUUGUGUCAUCUUAGCAAUUAAAAGCGAAGUGUGCUUUGGGGUGGCAAUUGGGAUAUAGACAUUAUUCUCAAAAAGAAUCUUGAAGGCUUACAUUCACCCCCUCCGGUCGCCGGUUCCGAUCCUUCACCUAUAAAUUAGGAGUAGUAGUAGGUAGUAAGUGGCAGGUUAGGUAAGUACCCGUUGAUGAAUGUUGGCUUGGCGUGAUCGGCUCUGCUGGUUCCACGAAGAUGCCAAUAUACAGCAAGGACCUAAGUCCAAGGGGAAAAACAACCAACAAGUAGGUUUGUUGCCGACCGCUAGCUAAUCAACAGUGAUGUACGGGUGGAUUCGUGCGUAAAUAUUUUUUCAAUCAUGCCAUCAGGCCGCUGAUAAAAUGGGCUUAUGUUUGGCUAACCUUUAAAACAUUCUUAGAGCUGUUGGCCAUUGUGAUAACUUUGCACGUGCAUCAUUAACAUGCCAACAUACAACAAGGACAUAAGACCAAAGGAAAGAACAACCAACAAGUGCCUUUGCUGAUCGGUCAGGUCUCAGAGUUUGAGAAACUGGAUCUGACGGAUGUGAAAUUAAUCCAUGCGUGGCCUCAUGCAAAUUUGUUCACAGGUUUGAACAGCAUGUAAUCUUUUUCAGGCAUCUAUAUGGAGCGUGGGUGUGUUAUGUUAUCUUCUACUACACAUAUAACAUCAAAUUCAUUCAGUUUGGCCGAGAGCCCAAAAUGCAACGAAUAUGCCAUCCAACGUGAAAAAAAAGAGAUGAGGAACAGUAUACUCUAUCUUCGAAAUUAGUCAACGAGAUGCAGCUUCAAAAGAGAUAAGAGCAGACAAGAGGCACCAUGGGAUGCUGCAAAAUUUGGGAUCACGUGUGCAGAUCCCUAAUUAGGAAAAAAGAAUAAUUGAGCUAGCAACAAUAGUAGGACAUCUCCAUGCUCACCUAGUAUAGUAGCCACUUCUAGUGCGCGUGGAACACGACUGCCGGCCCAGUUGGCGCUAAGACAUCGUACGUGCAUUAAGUCUGAGGUGCUAGGACAGCUUCCUCUUGCUUCCCCACCAAAUCAUGAGCAACGAUCUCUUUCUUUCUAACUCAUGCUUGACUGUGACGGUGCUAUUAUAUAUUAUUGCAUGAUCAUCAAGAUAAGAUCGUAUAGUGACUGAGUGAGACAUCUAUGUACUAACUUGCAUUUAAGCCUCGAACUGUGUGUCAUUACGUGAGCUGCCUCCUGUCCUCGCCUCUGAAUUAUUGAACCGUUCCCAACAGCUAGUGUUGGUCUCAAAGGAAUUUGACACCAAACAGAUUGAUAAAGAAAAGAGAAUAAUACCUGGAAUUGGAAAAAGUUGAUCUCUCUAUACAAUGAGGUAGGGCUCCCCUUUUAUAGUGACCCAUCAGCCACUUUACAUUCCGAAAAUGUCCUUCCUCAACCACUACAUUCUUAGGAUAUGCCAUACAUAAAUGUCAUUUGAGGUGACGCGUACAAAUUGAACUCUUCCACGUGGUCACGUUUCUCACGCCUCUUGUUUUCCAACCUCGAGACUUCAUCUUCAUGCCAAGUUGAUCAUCUAGCCUCGAGGCUCCAUCUACGAUCCGGAAUGAACGUACAGCCUCGAGGCUCCUGCUUCGUUAAGCUUUGUUGAGAACUCAUAACCUCACAUAGUUCUCCUCCGAGUAUUGUAUCUGACUAAAGAGUAAAAAGGUAAAAGCUCGGUGCCCGGAACCGACUGAGAACACUCGAGGCUUAUAGCUCAGUUGGAGUUUAGCUAUUACCGUUGCCAGUCACCAGCCUCGAGCCCCUCCAGAAACAAGGUGAUGCGAGAGUACGAGUUUUACUAUUAGAGGUGUCCCCAUAGAACGUGCGAGGUUAAUGAGUUCAGUUUCUUUUACUGCCGACGCAUAACAUGCGAGGAUCAACGAAUAUGAGGAAUGGGACAUAGAACGUGCGAGGUUAAUGAGUUCAGUUUCUUUUACUGCCGACGCAUAACAUGCGAGGAUCAACGAAUAUGAGGAACACUAUAUGCCAUCCAACGGGAAAAAAAAAGAUGAGGAACAGUAUACUCUAUCUUCGAAAUUAGUUAUAAAGAUUCAGCUUCAAAAGAGAUAACGAGGUGUCCAAGACUCGAGGAGCCAGUCAAGAGCAGACAAGAGGCACAUGAGUGCAUGCAUCCACACCUUGGGAUGCUGCAAACUUUUAUGAGGCUGCAAGCUGCAUACAUAAGUUUAUUUCACCUUUGUUCACAAUACUCUUCACACACCAUUCACACACGUCUCAGGGAGCUCUGCAGCAAUGGUGGAGAUCUUAGCUAGACUGCUCACUUCCCUUGUUGUCGCUAUUGCUAAAAACACAAGCUCACCUCUGCUAUUGCGAAGCAGGCCAAUUUGCUGUGGAACUUUGGCGACGACCUGAAGGACAUGAAGUCGGUGCUGGAGUCCAUCUCAGCAGCGCUCCAGGACGCUGACACUGCUAGAAAAACGACCUUUCAUCCUCAACAAAAGUCCCGGUAGCUUUUUUACCUGGAACUAAAGAGGUUUUAGUGCUGCGCAAACACCUUUAGUCCGGGUUGCUGUUACCAACCAGGAGUAAAGGGUACGAUGGCACCAACCGGGACUAAAGCACCCCCCACGAGUUACUAUAAAGGAUUGCAUCCUCCACUUAGUCAGAUUUACUGUGUAGGUGAGAUGGUAAGGAAGCUAUGCGCGAGGCUUGAGAUCAUCGGUUCGAAUCCCAUGCACCGCGCGCGCACGCGCAUAGUUUGAGUGAAAAAUCAUGUCACUUGUGAUCGGCCAAGGAGAAGUGGGUGCAGAUGUGGCUUAAGCGGCUGAGGCACGCCGCCAUAGACAUCUCGGAUUUGCUACAUACAUCAUUGCACUUCCAAUUGACACCAAUUUAAAUGGUUCGUCUAGCCGCUACAAGGUAUCAUCAGAUAUAGAAGAAUUAGAGACUGGGGGUAAUAGCAAAAAAGGAAUAUAACUCGUCCGAGAAAUUGGGUGCAGGGGCGUGGGGUAAGGUAAUUGAAGUAACUAGCCAGUUUCUUCCCGAAACUUCCCAAGAAAAAUCCCGAAUUGGAUCCAAAAUUGACGGAUUAAUCAACCAAAAUAACCGUGAGCAGCCACAAUGUUAUAAGUCCCUUCUUCUUGACCAAAUUUGUAACCCUUAUUAGCAUACUCAUUUUCAGUGGUUUCCGUGAUCAAACUAGAGGUUACCAAGGAACCGUGUGCUCUAGCCCACAGGUGGCCGAAAACGGCCAAGAAGGGCUUCGGGGAUGGAAACAACGUGGAUGGUCAGAACACGUGAGAAUGACCACGGGAUGCAUGUUUGGCCCUGUAACAGUGUGCUAUAGAAAGCCGGAAAUGGCCAGGAGGGUCACCAGGGAUGAAGAUGCAGGGAUGGAUGGAACACGCGAAAAUGGCCACCAGUGAUUAGUGGCAGGUCUAGAGAGAUAUCUCAUCAAAUCGGUGAGUUAUAUCCGAUUUAAACGAGGAUAAAAAUGAGUGUAUUUUCCACCCAUCAUGUUGACUUUUCGCAGCUAUACUGCCUUUAGUGUGUUGUAUUGUUCCCAUGACACCAAGUCUCCAAGGCCCGAGAAAAUAAGGAAAGUGAUAGCAGCCCAGAAAUCGACCAAGUUUCUUUCCCCCUUUGGCAUUCCUACUAGGAUUCGGAAUACUCUUUCGCAUGACAAUCAUAAUUAUCUCCCAUAAUCCAAAACUCACAAAAACAUCAAAAAUCCGCCUAGAAUAAAUUAACUAAAAAACAUGCACACACAGAUAAUAAUAAUAAUAAUAAUAAUAAUAAUAAUAAUAAUAAUAAUAAUAAUAAUGUUUCUAUAAAAUUGCGAAGGCCAGAGACAAUACAUAAAAAUAUUAGACUGCUCAUGACACAUAUCACGGUGGACAGUGUCUACGUCCUUAUUACAAGCAGCGAGAGGAAUUAAACAUGCUUGUCACCACACACACGCGCGCGCACAGAUGCACGACACACAUAUGGUUGAGACCAACAAAUGGACCUCGACUAGAGGUCGCCCCAUAUGGUGAACAAUUUAUUGGAGAUAAACAUGAACAUAACUUGGCCAUAGCUUGAAGCAUAGCAACAUAUGCCUAUGAAUGGCAUUCAUGCUGGUAGCAAUGCAAUCAUAUCGUUUUAGGCUUGUCCAGCUUCUUCCAUCUUAGCAAGCACUGCCAUUUCUUCCAUCUUAGCAGCAACUGUCAUAUUGAGAUAUGGAAAUCCCAUUAGCGUAGGAGCUAAUUUUGCAGUGGAAAUAGAGUACAAGAUGUCUUCAUGAUGUAAGUAAUAUGCCUGAAGUUGUUAGAUGGGAAGUGAAGUCAACAAAUUACAUUAACGGAAAUGUAUGGAAGGCCACACAUACGUAUUAGUCCACGAUAUGCUACAAAGCUUGUAUGUACAUAUAACAAAUUAAAUGCAUUGAAUAGAGUGAGUUUACUGAAUUUACCAGAAUCGGACAGAACACAUGGGAAACAGCAAGUGUUCUUGCAGAGUGAGUCGGAGCCACCUGCAGUAAUACAAGCAAAACAACAUGCUUUUGCCCGGGCGGAUACGCAGCAGCUGCACUGUGCCGCGGUGGCCGGGUUAACAUUGAGGCUCAAGAUGACCAGGCACACGAUCACCAUCAAAGCGGUAGUCCUCUUUCCCUCCAUUGCCUCCUCUUUCUGCUACCUUCCUUGGUUACCUAGCUAAGUUUAUUGGUUUUGUGUUGAGAGGUGAUUCUUGAAUGGACGUUGCCGGCUGCAAUUUAUAGGCAGCUGCGCUAUGUGAUGAUAUGGACAAGGUGCAAAUGGGUGGUCCAAUGGCAAGGAAAGGGGGUAUUCUGCUUGACAUUGGCAUCAGACAAAGCCCAAUGGCAACUGCUGACACGCGAUUAAAAUCAGAUCCGCAUCUUAUCCAGCCAUUCACUAAUAAUUAAAGUAAACCCACGCGGUCCGCGAGAUGCAGCGUCCAUGCAUAGCACUUCCCGCCAAACAAUAGGAAAAAUUAGAAUUCAGAGAUAGCAGCUGCUUGCAUGAAACACGGUUGCACAGAAAUCAGUGGUGCUUGGACGGUAAGUAGUGUGGUGUACAAGCUUAAAGCGGCAGUGAGUCAGGUUGGUGUAACAAGCAGUACAUCAGCUGGAAGAUUGAUAUGUCUAUUGCCCACGCAGCAUAGCAUUUUAUUAUGAUACAUUGAGUUAUGUCAUAUUGUUACUUUAAGUUAUUUUUUAAGUAUUAGUUGUAGACAAUUUAGUUGCAAAUUUAAGCGGUUAUUUUAAAUUAUUUUUUAUAAUGGCAUAAGUGGGUAAUUUAGAUGAAGAUUAGGGGGUUACUUUAGCUUAUUUUAUAUAAUAGCAGAGGUGGGUAAUUUAGAUAUAAAUUUAGGGUUACUUUAGGCUAUUUUCUUAAUGGCAUAGGUGGGUAAUUUUUUUAGAAAUUAUAAUAGAUCCAAUGGCUACGAUGUUUGAGUCUACUCGUUGAUGGCAAGAUAUUUUGCUUGUUUGUGGAAAUUUUAAAUAUGUCUCUUUUUUGUAGAGUGUCCACCUAGGAUCCUAGGUGGCUUCGCUUGGAGGCUUCAAAAGGAGCUCCAAAAUUAGUAAUAGUAUGAUUUUCUCAAAAGAGACUUAAUUCUACCACUGUAACUUGAUUGGCCACCCCGGCCUCUACCUUUUCCCUCCAUUUGACUAUUUGAGUUGGCUGUGAACGAUUCUCGGCGCUAGCAACGUUACGUGUGAUCCAAAUGCCAGCACUCAUGUGCGCCACCUGUAUUCUAUGGGAAUGCCAUGAUGCAUGUGCAGUAACAGCGCGCACAUCUUGCAGGAUUCGCGCCUCGUUUUCACUAUUGUGUCAUCUUAGCAAUUAGGAGCGAAGUGUGCUUUGGGGUGGCAAUUGGGAUAUAGACAUUAUUCUCGAAAAGAAUCUUGAAGGCUUACAUUCACCCCCUCCGGUCGCCGGUUCCGAUCCUUCACCUAUAAAUUAGGAGUAGUAGUAGGUAGUAAGUGGCAGGUUAGGUAAGUACCCGUUGAUGAAUGUUGGCUUGGCGUGAUCGGCUCUGCUGGUUCCACGAAGAUGCCAAUAUACAGCAAGGACCUAAGUCCAAGGGGAAAAACAACCAACAAGUAGGUUUGUUGCCGACCGCUAGCUAAUCAACAGUGAUGUACGGGUGGAUUCGUGCGUAAAUAUUUUUUCAAUCAUGCCAUCAGGCCGCUGAUAAAAUGGGCUUAUGUUUGGCUAACCUUUAAAACAUUCUUAGAGCUGUUGGCCAUUGUGAUAACUUUGCACGUGCAUCAUUAACAUGCCAACAUACAACAAGGACAUAAGACCAAAGGAAAGAACAACCAACAAGUGCCUUUGCUGAUCGGUCAGGUCUCAGAGUUUGAGAAACUGGAUCUGACGGAUGUGAAAUUAAUCCAUGCGUGGCCUCAUGCAAAUUUGUUCACAGGUUUGAACAGCAUGUAAUCUUUUUCAGGCAUCUAUAUGGAGCGUGGGUGUGUUAUGUUAUCUUCUACUACACAUAUAACAUCAAAUUCAUUCAGUUUGGCCGAGAGCCCAAAAUGCAACGAAUAUGCCAUCCAACGUGAAAAAAAAGAGAUGAGGAACAGUAUACUCUAUCUUCGAAAUUAGUCAACGAGAUGCAGCUUCAAAAGAGAUAAGAGCAGACAAGAGGCACCAUGGGAUGCUGCAAAAUUUGGGAUCACGUGUGCAGAUCCCUAAUUAGGAAAAAAGAAUAAUUGAGCUAGCAACAAUAGUAGGACAUCUCCAUGCUCACCUAGUAUAGUAGCCACUUCUAGUGCGCGUGGAACACGACUGCCGGCCCAGUUGGCGCUAAGACAUCGUACGUGCAUUAAGUCUGAGGUGCUAGGACAGCUUCCUCUUGCUUCCCCACCAAAUCAUGAGCAACGAUCUCUUUCUUUCUAACUCAUGCUUGACUGUGACGGUGCUAUUAUAUAUUAUUGCAUGAUCAUCAAGAUAAGAUCGUAUAGUGACUGAGUGAGACAUCUAUGUACUAACUUGCAUUUAAGCCUCGAACUGUGUGUCAUUACGUGAGCUGCCUCCUGUCCUCGCCUCUGAAUUAUUGAACCGUUCCCAACAGCUAGUGUUGGUCUCAAAGGAAUUUGACACCAAACAGAUUGAUAAAGAAAAGAGAAUAAUACCUGGAAUUGGAAAAAGUUGAUCUCUCUAUACAAUGAGGUAGGGCUCCCCUUUUAUAGUGACCCAUCAGCCACUUUACAUUCCGAAAAUGUCCUUCCUCAACCACUACAUUCUUAGGAUAUGCCAUACAUAAAUGUCAUUUGAGGUGACGCGUACAAAUUGAACUCUUCCACGUGGUCACGUUUCUCACGCCUCUUGUUUUCCAACCUCGAGACUUCAUCUUCAUGCCAAGUUGAUCAUCUAGCCUCGAGGCUCCAUCUACGAUCCGGAAUGAACGUACAGCCUCGAGGCUCCUGCUUCGUUAAGCUUUGUUGAGAACUCAUAACCUCACAUAGUUCUCCUCCGAGUAUUGUAUCUGACUAAAGAGUAAAAAGGUAAAAGCUCGGUGCCCGGAACCGACUGAGAACACUCGAGGCUUAUAGCUCAGUUGGAGUUUAGCUAUUACCGUUGCCAGUCACCAGCCUCGAGCCCCUCCAGAAACAAGGUGAUGCGAGAGUACGAGUUUUACUAUUAGAGGUGUCCCCAUAGAACGUGCGAGGUUAAUGAGUUCAGUUUCUUUUACUGCCGACGCAUAACAUGCGAGGAUCAACGAAUAUGAGGAACACUAUAUGCCAUCCAACGGGAAAAAAAAGAUGAGGAACAGUAUACUCUAUCUUCGAAAUUAGUUAUAAAGAUUCAGCUUCAAAAGAGAUAACGAGGCGUCCAAGACUCGAGGAGCCAGUCAAGAGCAGACAAGAGGCACAUGAGUGCAUGCAUCCACACCUUGGGAUGCUGCAAACUUUUAUGAGGCUGCAAGCUGCAUACAUAAGUUUAUUUCACCUUUGUUCACAAUACUCUUCACACACCAUUCACACACGUCUCAGGGAGCUCUGCAGCAAUGGUGGAGAUCUUAGCUAGACUGCUCACUUCCCUUGUUGUCGCAAUUGCUAAAAACACAAGCUCACCUCUGCUAUUGCGAAGCAGGCCAAUUUGCUGUGGAACUUUGGCGACGACCUGAAGGACAUGAAGUCGAUGCUGGAGUCCAUCUCAGCAGCGCUCCAGGACGCUGACACUGCUAGAAAAACGACCUUUCAUCCUCAACAAAAGUCCCGGUAGCUUUUUUACCUGGAACUAAAGAGGUUUUAGUGCUGCGCAAACACCUUUAGUCCGGGUUGCUGUUACCAACCAAGAGUAAAGGGUACGAUGGCACCAACCGGGACUAAAGCACCCCCCACGAGUUACUAUAAAGGAUUGCAUCCUCCACUUAGUCAGAUUUACUGUGUAGGUGAGAUGGUAAGGAAGCUAUGCGCGAGGCUUGAGAUCAUCGGUUCGAAUCCCACGCACCGCGCGCGCACGCGCAUAGUUUGAGUGAAAAAUCAUGUCACUUGUGAUCGGCCAAGGAGAAGUGGGUGCAGAUGUGGCUUAAGCGGCUGAGGCACGCCGCCAUAGACAUCUCGGAUUUGCUCGAAGACUACCAAGACACUAGCGAACCCUUAACAGCAAAGGUGAGUACUUAUGCGUGUCAACAUCUAUGUUGUCCAUGCUUCCAAUGCAAUAAGAAGAAGGACUACUCUUCCUAGCGGACUCUUCACAACCACUCGUAAAGCUAUGUGUUUCUCAAUUCAAUUUCGUAGAAGGCAAUGGAUCCAAUCAACCGACUAAAUCAUUCGUCCUUGCCAAUGAUGUGCUUCAGGUUUUCUAUAUGAAGGACAUGUGACUACUAGAAAAACGAUCUUUCAUCCCUAGCCUUAGUACCGGUUGCAUUUGGAACCGGUACUAAUGUUUACAUUAGUACCGGUUCCAAAGGAUACUAUCCGGAGCGCACCUCGAUGACCCCUUUAGUACCGGUUGGGGGCAACAACCGGUACUAAAGGGUGAGCAUUAGUACCGGUUGUUACCUUAAUCCGGUACUAAAGGGCUACCCACCCUCUAUUACCGGUUGGUGGCAUCAACCGGUACUAAAAGGGAUACCCUCUAGCACCGGUUGCUGCCACAACCCGGUACUAGUGCGGCGCCAUGCAGAAUAGAAGGUAGAUCGAUUGUACAUGGAGGGGGAACAAAGGGAGAAAGGCAAAUCAUCAGCUUAUUAUCACAUGGUAGACUAGUCUUUAAAACAUGUUUAGGGCAGAGCACAUUACGUUUAUCUUGUUUUGCACAACAACAAAUGUGACCUUUAGAAGAUAGCCCUCCUCUAAUUAAACUAGUGCACUAUUACAGGAUGGUAUCGCACGCUUCCUUUUUCCCUAUGAAAAUGAAGUUUUUAAUGAUCUGAUAGCAGCUGGCAAAACAAAUGAUUGCAAAGAUGUUUGCAGAUGUUUGCAGAUGAUAAUGCCACAGUCGACGGAGAGAGCAUCUGGGUCUAACCAUAAUAACACAAGUCUUUCCUUUAGAUAACAUGCCAUCAGAUUCCUUGCAAGAGUUUGUAUGUUCGACCAACAGGAAGUUGACGAAAGAGUGGGACAAAAAUGUGACUCGAUCAUGUCAUUGUGGGCAAAGGUCCUAGUGGCUCAUGGAAUAGAUGAUAUCACUUGAAGUACAUAGGACAGAGAGGCCAUAGUCGGCACAAGGAGAAGCAUGACCAGAAACUUGAAAGAGGUAAGCUUCAAAGCUAGGAGGAAUGUUAUUCUUGCUAGUUCAAUGGUGUCUUCUUAUAGAUCAGUUCAUAGAUCUUAUAUAUUUGGCCGUGACGAUAAUAAAUAUUUAAUAUGAACUCAGAUAUAGAUAAAAUUUAUAUCAAAAUUGUUGAUCUCAACGAGAUUUACAACUUUGUAGUUCAAAUUAUUUUCAUUUGGAGCCAUCUUGGUGCUCAAAUAAUCGAAACAUUUUUUAGAUCUAAAAUUUAAUUUUAGAUCUAAAACUUGUGUCGAUUAUUUGAGCACCAAGAUAAUACCAAAUGAAAAAUGUUUGAACUACAAAGUUGUAGAUCUCGUCGAGAUCUACAAUUUUCAUAUAAAGUUUAUCUCCAUCCGAGUUCAUAUGAAUUAGUUCAACCGGCGGUAAUGCUGCUACAGUGUAGCUUCUGCCGUUUCAAACGACGGUAUAGGUUUAGAUUACCAAUUUUUUUUAACCCAUAUAUUUUUGCAAAAUACUAAAAUAAAAAAUAUAUAAAAAAAUUCUAGUUUUAAUCAGCAAUGACUAAAUGUUAGCCCGGUUAUGCCCCAUGUUAGGUCUAGUCAUGGACCAAUAAAACAUGUGCUAGACUUCAUGGCCACCGGAUGCGUGUUCAACCAUGUAAUCGUAUGCUAUACCUCACAGGAGGUUGAAAAUGGCCCGAAGGGGUACAGUGGAUGAAAACGUCGGGGACACUCGGAACACAAGAAAAUGACCACCAGAUACGUGUUUGGCCAUUGUAACUGUGCGCUAUAGUUGAUAGGUUGAAAGCGGCUCGAAGAGGCAUCAGGGAUGGAAACAUGGGGGAUGGUCGGAACACUUGAAAAUGGCACUGGAUAAGUGUGCUUAUUCCUUACAAAACGCUGAAAAUGGCUCGGAAGGGUCAUCGAGGAUGGAAACUAGGUGGUCAAUAAGUGAAAAUGGGCAGCGGACAUGUUCGGUCAUGUAACCGUGUGCUAUAGUCCACUAGAGGUCGGAAAGCUGCCCUAGGGGCUCUAGAGACGAAAACGUGAGGAACAGCUAAAAGGUUACGUGUUUGGUCAUGACAGCCCUAUUAGGAAGCGAUAGAAGUGGAAAGAUAGCUGGUUUCAGAUUGGCAACCCAUCUUUUGCUUCCCCCUUACUUCCAUCCGUAAUCCAUGGGCAUCGAAUUUAAAAGUAUACAAAUCACUUUUAGAUGUAAUUGAGGGUAAAGAGGGGAGGUUUCGUGAGACUCUACAAUGUUCAAAUCGUUCAUUCGUUAGGAUGCCUCAGCUACAUACAUCAUUGCACUUCCAAUUGACACCAAUUUAAAUGGUUCGUCUAGCCGCUACAAGGUAUCAUCAGAUAUAGAAGAAUUAGAGACUGGGGGUAAUAGCAAAAAAGGAAUAUAACUCGUCCGAGAAAUUGGGUGCAGGGGCGUGGGGUAAGGUAAUUGAAGUAACUAGCCAGUUUCUUCCCGAAACUUCCCAAGAAAAAUCCCGAAUUGGAUCCAAAAUUGACGGAUUAAUCAACCAAAAUAACCGUGAGCAGCCACAAUGUUAUAAGUCCCUUCUUCUUGACCAAAUUUGUAACCCUUAUUAGCAUACUCAUUUUCAGUGGUUUCCGUGAUCAAACUAGAGGUUACCAAGGAACCGUGUGCUCUAGCCCACAGGUGGCCGAAAACGGCCAAGAAGGGCUUCGGGGAUGGAAACAACGUGGAUGGUCAGAACACGUGAGAAUGACCACGGGAUGCAUGUUUGGCCCUGUAACAGUGUGCUAUAGAAAGCCGGAAAUGGCCAGGAGGGUCACCAGGGAUGAAGAUGCAGGGAUGGAUGGAACACGCGAAAAUGGCCACCAGUCAUUAGUGGCAGGUCUAGAGAGAUAUCUCAUCAAAUCGGUGAGUUAUAUCCGAUUUAAACGAGGAUAAAAAUGAGUGUAUUUUCCACCCAUCAUGUUGACUUUUCGCAGCUAUACUGCCUUUAGUGUGUUGUAUUGUUCCCAUGACACCAAGUCUCCAAGGCCCGAGAAAAUAAGGAAAGUGAUAGCAGCCCAGAAAUCGACCAAGUUUCUUUCCCCCUUUGGCAUUCCUACUAGGAUUCGGAAUACUCUUUCGCAUGACAAUCAUAAUUAUCUCCCAUAAUCCAAAACUCACAAAAACAUCAAAAAUCCGCCGAGAAUAAAUUAACUAAAAAACAUGCACACACAGAUAAUAAUAAUAAUAAUAAUAAUAAUAAUAAUAAUAAUAAUAAUAAUAAUAAUAAUAAUAAUAAUCAUGUUUCUAUAAAAUUGCUAAGGCCAGAGACAAUACAUAAAAAUAUUAGACUGCUCAUGACACAUAUCACGGUGGACAGUGUCUGUGUCCUUAUUACAAGCAGCGAGAGGAAUUAAACAUGCUUGUCACCACACAUGCGCGCGCACAGAUGCACGACACACAUAUGGUUGAGACCAACAGAUGGACCUCGACUAGAGGUCGCCCCAUAUGGUGAACAAUUUAUUGGAGAUAAACAUGAACAUAACUUGGCCAUAGCUUGAAGCAUAGCAACAUAUGCCUAUGAAUGGCAUUCAUGUUGGUAGCAAUGCAAUCAUAUCGUUUUAGGCUUGUCCAGGUUCUUCCAUCUUAGCAAGCACUGCCAUUUCUUCCAUCUUAGCAGCAACUGUCAAAUUGAGAUAUGGAAAUCCCAUUAGCGCAUGAAUUAAUUUUGCAGUGGAAAUAGAGUACAAGAUAUCUUCAUGAUGUAAGUAAUAUGCCUGAAGUUGUGAGAUGGGAAGUGAAGUCAACAAAUUACAUUAACGGAAAUGCAUGGAAGGCCACACAUAUGUAUUAGUCCACGAUAUGCUACAAAGCUUGUAUGUACAUAUAACAAAUUAAAUGCAUUGAAUAGAGUGAGUUUACUGAAUUUACCAGAAUCGGACAGAACACAUGGGAAACAGCAAGUGUUCUUGCAGAGUGAGUCGGAGCCACCUGCAGUAAUACAAGCAAAACAACAUGCUUUUGCCCGGGCGGAUACGCAGCAGCUGCACUGUGCCGCGGUGGCCGGGUUAACAUUGAGGCUCAAGAUGACCAGGCACAUGAUCACCAUCAAAGGGGUAGUCCUCUUUCCCUCCAUUGCCUCCUCUUGCUGCUACCUUCCUUGGUUACCUAGCUAAGUUUAUUUGUUUUGUGUUGAGAGGUGAUUCUUUAGUGGACGUUGCCAGCUGCAAUUUAUAGGCUGUCUGAUGAUAUGGACAAGGUGCAAAUGGGUGGUCCAAUGGCAAGGAAAGGGGGUAUUCUGCUUGACAUUGGCAUCAGACAAAGCCCAAUGGCAACUGCUGACACGCGAUUAAAAUCAGAUCCACAUCUUAUCCAGCCAUUCACUAAUAAUUAAACUAAACCCACGCGGUCCGCGAGAUGCAGCGUCCAUUAGCACUUCCCGCCAAACAAUAGGCAAAAUUAGAAUUCAAAGAUAGUAGUGUGGGACAUUUAAUUCCUGCGCAAGCGCGGACAAUGGUGCCAGCAGCUGCUUGCAUGAAACACGGUUACAUAAUUUGAAAAUAAUACAUAAUUAAAAACUAAUACAUAAUUUGACACGGUGAACCUCGAGAACGUUUUGAAAAUGUACUCUCGUUAGGCGUUCACCUCCUUAACAAUAAUGUAGUGUGGAAGGUGUGCGUGAGGAUCGUUAUCUAUAUCGUGUGUUAGAAAAAAGAUUGCAUAUAUAGUGCCAUCAUUCAAUAUACUUAAUUGCGUCCAUGCCAUCGUUACAAGAUUUCUAACAUUUCCCAACACUUCUCUUACAAAUGCCCAGUGGCGAAAUAGGGAUAUCACGAGGCAGCGGUGGUACUACGUGGAGCGUGUAGUUAAGGUUUGUCUUUCUUCGGAUAGCACGUUAGCUGACCAUUGACAACAUGUGAUGAUUUUACUAACAUCAAAAGUAGGCAUGCCCCAUUUUUUAAUUGGUGCUUAUAGAGGCAUGGAGUGUGAGGUUUUGGUGGGUGAGCAUUGGUGUGCAACUCGUGUGCGUGAGCAUGUGUGCAUACGAUACUGUGUUUUGUUAGAAAAGAUGAUAAUGCCCGGAAACAAUCCUGAAUGGAAGGCGGGCCCUGACCACAGGAUAAUGCAUUACGGGGCGAUGUCUCAACUUGUCACCUGGGGCGCUUUUGCAGUUUCCCCGUACACACACUAAGAGCCUCCGACCCUUUUUCGUCAUACCUUCCCUUGUAGUCAUGCAUAUAUCCAUGAUGAUUUGAGUCUACUGAUUGACGGCUAGAUGUUUUGAUUGUUUGUGAAAAUUUUUAGUUUCUGGUUUUUAGAGUGAAGCCACCUAGGAUCCUAGGUGGCUUCACUAAAAGCUUCAAAAGAAGCAUCCAAAUUAGUAAUCGUAUGAUUUUGUGAAAAGAGACUUAAUUCUACCAUUAUAACUUGAUUGGCUGCCCCAGCCUCUACCUUUGCCUCCACUUGACUAUUUGAGUUGGCUGUGGACGGUUCACGGCGCUAGGAACAUUAUGUUUGAUCCAAAUGCCACCACUCAUGCACUACUACAGAACUCGGUAUUAGUUCCGGUUCGUAGACUGCAUAUCUCCCGAAAAUGCAACCGGGAUUAAUCCGUCGAGAUAAAAGGGGGGGUCUUUUAUCACGGGUCCCUCAACCGGGAUAUAAAACUCUCCUUUAAUCCCGUUUUGUAAAACCAACCGGGACUAACGAGGCUGCCACGCCAGGCGGUGGACAGACCCCUUUAGUCCCGGUUGGUGUUACAAACCGGGACUAAAGGUCUCCUCUUAGUCACGGUUUGUUUUACAAACCAGGACUAAAGUGUGUGCGUAGGGCGCCUGCAUGGCGCCUAUAAUUUUGUGCAUAUCUCACAUACCCCUUUAGUUAACCUUUAGUAGUUGAGAACUUUUUUUUAUAAUGAAAUCAAUCAAACUAGUAUUUAAACGAAUCAAAUAAUUAUUUAAAUGAAUCAAACAAGUAUUUACACAAAUACUAUACAAUUCUUAGCGUACUAUAUAUAUACACAAAUCUAAUUAGCGUACGUAUUACAUAUAUAUACAAACUAAAUCAAACUAUAUAUAUAUAUAUAUAUAUAUCUACGAUGAUCUUCCCGUUGAGGUGCUGGGAGCGUCUAAUUUUCGUCCAUCGUAAUGAAAGUCUCCUUUUGGAUUUACAACCUCGUCCACCAGGAAUCCAAUGAGACCUUCACAUAUUGCCGGUACUCUUUCCUUCUUCAAGAGCCCUAAUUGAAUAUUCCACAUCUGUAAUUUGGAUACAUAUAUGUGAAUUUUACACGAACAAUUGUAAAAAAUAAAUAACUAUUAAUAGUUUUAUUUUACAUACUUUAAAUUCAUGCUCCGUGGCCUUGCUGGUCUUGGGUCCCAAUAAAUUGUGCAUGUGCUCACAGACAUAGUAGCCACAUAGAUUAUCAUUCCCAGGUUCCCGUCUUAAGCACUGUUGCGGGGAAAAACAAUUAAGUUAUUAAAUAUUCAUGCUAUAGAAUGUACAAAAUGUGCAGCUUCAUACGUAUCGGGAAGUCUGUUCUCUAUGUAAGUUUUUCUUUGAAUUGACCUGAUCUGUCUGCCCUGAUGAAUUCUUUCCAUGCUCUGCGGAUUAAAAUAAUGAAUGAUAUAGUGUUAGGUGAAAAUUUAGGAAACAAAUUUUGUAUAGAGAUAGAGGUCCAGAAUUAUUACAUGUCUAGCGUGUGUUCAACGUCUUGGUAGUCCUUCGGAUCUCUCCUCAACGAAUCGAAGACAGUGACGUGACUUCGAUCAAUGUUAAUAAUAAUGAGGAUCCAGUGGGAGCUGCGUACGUAAAUGUUCAUAUAUAUUAGAGGUAACUAACAUUAAUCAGGUAAGGAAAAAGAAAACGAAUAUAGACGGUAUACACACACUUACUUGAAGUUGUAUGGAAGUAGUAUGUGAUCCUUUAAUUUUUGUCCGUCUAAAGAAUUUACUGCUAGCAACGUUUUGUCUGGAAAAUCUCGUAUCUGGGCUUGGUUCACUUUGGAUGGAUCCAUGAAGCCAAUAUGGAGGUACGCUUCAUGUCGGCACGUCCGAAUUAGCAUCCUACAUAAAAUGGAAGAUGAAGUUAAUUAGUACGGCGACGCAUGCAUAAAAAAAUGACAUGAGCUAAUAUUUACAUGUACAUAUAAACAGACACUUACAGAGUCCAGGCGCUCAUCAGAGAGACGUCUAGGGCACCAUGAUGGUACACUUCGUAUAUAUCCUUGAAUCGUAGCCACAGGACUGCCUCGCCUUCGCCGUGAAAAUCUAUCGGUUUUAUCUUAAGGCCUAACAUCUCCCUCUCGUCGGUAGACAACUUCAUGUACCAUUGAUGGAAUUCGUACAUCUUCGUUGAUAGCUUCUUUAGCGAAUCAGGGUUAACCAUAGGCUUGCCUAGCUCAAAGGUCCAUUUUGGUUCACUUGGUGGUGCAGUUGGCAGCUCGACUUUUUUCCUUUUUUUUCUUCUCAUCAACCUUUACUAUUGCCCGUUCAUAGUUCGAUAGUAGUGGUUGACUCUUCUUGUCUUGUUCUUGCGUCUUGAUGAAUUUAUAUAAUUCUCUUCGAUCUACUGGCGGUGGCUCCAUCUCCCUUGCUUUUCUUAAUUCCCUCUGUUCCCUCAACCACUCACUAGCUUGCACUUAGAUUUCGGUCUAGCGUUCCUCAUCAGUCAUUGCCUCCCAGCGUUCCUAGUGAACCACUUCUCCUAGUGUUGUUGACCCGUCACCUGCUGGGAAGUCGAGCUCUAGGCCUUCAAAUUGGCUAUCAGGGAUUUUCUCUACGCCAACACUGGCAUAGCCAGGUGGAAGCUCCAUGCCAUGGCAUGCAUGAUUUGGCAGGAUUGGCAAUGCACUCCCGUACGCCACCUAGAUAUAUAAAAGAAAUGAAUUUCUUAAACUUCAAAUUGCCAAAGCACUCCCGAGGCUCCGGUGCAUAAAUAUUAUGUAUAUAUACAUACCUUAAUGCUGAGGUUGCCGAUCGCUAUAUGCAGCUCACAUGUGGUGUGUUGCGUGAUGGCAUCCAUAGGGAAUAGUUGCUCUUCCACCAGUAAUCCUGGCGUAUGUGGCUCAAGGAGCCCUGUGGAUGCACAGCUGCUCCCGAGGUGUUGAGAAGGGCUGUCAACUACGUCGGCCAUUCAUCUACUGCCUCCCUCCUGAUUUCUUACUUCUACAGAUUGCAGUUUGAAUUCUAUUGUGCGCUGCCACCUCUCAUCCUCUUGCUCCUUUCUUUGGUUCUGGCUUGUGUACUUGUCCAAGUCGCCUCGGAAUGCGAACUUCCACGGAACAAGCCUGAACCCUCGGGUACGUCCUGGGUGUUCGGAAUCCCGAGGGCCAUUGUGAGCUCAUCAUUCUCUUGGCACACCAUCAACGUCCCAUCCUUAACAUCUUUAAUAAUCUUGUUAAGCUUUGUGACCGCUUCACGUAAUAGGUCAUCGAAGACCACCGUCCCAUCAUCUGGGUUUAUCUCACCUCCAUGAGCGUAAUACCAAUUUUUUGAUCGUUCGGGCCAAUCAAUUGUUCCUGGUACGAUACCCCGCUCAAUCAGGUCUUUUUCCAUCUGAUUCCAUUUGGGAAUUGCUUUGGCGUAACCACCUCGCCCUAGCUUAUGAUGGUACUCCUUCCCCCCAACAUUGCCUGUGUUCUGGGCGACCUUGUUCUUGCUAUCUUCGAUGCUCUUGUAUUGUACAAAUGCCUCCCAGUGGUCCUUACACUGUGGAUACACAGUAAAAUCUGGAGUUCGGCCCUUCUUAAUAUAGGUGGUAUCCAACAUCUUCUUGAAUGUCUGGAAUUGUGUGGUCAUCUUCUUUAGUGUCCAUGCUUUCACAUCAUUUUCAAUAUAUCUGUCAAGAAAUGUGAAAUGUUUCUUAACUUCUUCCCACAGCAUAUUCUUUUCUGGUUCCUGGAGCGCGUAUGGAUUAGUCGUUUUGCCCUUCCAUACCCUUAUGCUGAUGGGCACGUUCUCCCUUACGAUUGCCCCAAUCUGACUCACGUACUGUGUUGCCACUUUUUGGGGAGCAACCGGCCUGCCCUCUUCUAUGACUUCCGUGAUGAUAGCCUUUUUUGUUCCAGUCUUCACCUUGGAAGGACCUCGGGGCUUCGGACGAUGGUUCGUCGAUCCAGAGGGAGGGCUAACAGUUCAAGAUUCAUUAAUUAAUUAGUACAUAGUAAUAAUGAAUAACAUCAUAUAUUAUAUAUACAGAGGGUUAAAAUAUGAUCUAUACCUCAUUGGAACCUUCUGCCACGGUAACGUUUUGUUGGGGCUCGGGCUCUUCAUUGCCUUUGGCAGACAGGUUGAGAAACAUGUGUGCCUGGCUACCCUCUUCAUCAGUGUACGCUAUGGGAAGGUUGGAACUACUAUCACCAGCAAUAAUCCACUCCAAUAGAUACCUUCUGGCCUCGUCGUCUGCCAUCGAUCUCAACUACUUUGUACAUGAAAUCAUAUAUAGAAAAACCAUGAAAAAAAAUUCAUUUCAACAAUUUUUUUUGAAAUAUACAAAAUGUACUACAUUUUUGAAAUAUACAAAAUGUAUUACAUUUUUGAAAUAUACAAAAUGUAACAUACAAAAUGUAAUAUACAAAAUGUAAUAUACAAAAUGUACUAUGCAAAAUGUAAUAUACAAAAUGUAACAUACAAAAUGUAAUAUACGAAAUGUACUAUGCAAAAUGUAAUAAAAAAUGUAACAUACAAAAUGUAAUAUACAAAUUGCAAUAUACAAAAUGUACUAUGCAAAAUGUAAUAUAAAAAUGUAAUAUACAAAUUGUACUAAAUUUCAACUAAUUUCUAAGCAUUUCAACAAAAAUUUGUAAACAUGUGUACUAAAGUUCAAUUAAUUUCUAAGCAUUAAUUAGCAGUAUACAACUAUAUUCAACAAACAAUUAGAAGUAAUCUACCAAAUUUCUAAAAUUAAUUCGGGCCGGGGCGACGGUCGGAGUUGGAGGUGGGCGCAUUGGCGAUGAGGACGCGCGGCGACGACAGGGGAGGCGGCCGGCCGGCUGGCGACGGGGACGGCUACGACAACGGGGAGGAGGUGGCGCCGGUGCGCGAUGAGGGGUACGCGCGGAGGUCGCGGUGACAGGGAUAGACGCGCCGGCGGUGGCGACGGGGACAGAGGAGGAGGCCGGCGAUGAUUGCGGGCAAAGAUGAUGGCGGCGGCGACAGAGAUGGAGGAGGCCGGCGAAUAGGAUGGGCCGCCGGUGGCGACUGGGAGCGGUGGCGGCGGAGGCAGGCGACGGGCGGGAUGAGGACGACGAGUGAAAAUUUCGCUAAGUGUUGGGCGGGGGGAGUGUAGAAGACUCUGUAAGUUUUAUACAGGACCCCCCCUUUUUAUCCCGGUUUGUAACUGAAACCGGGAUUACAGGACAUUUAACCCCGGUUUCUAAUACAAACCGAGAUAAAAGGGGGCACCUUUUAUCUCAUUUUAUGAUCACCCGCGAUGAAAACCCCCCCCCCCCUUUAUCUCGGUUUAUGAUCAACCGGGAUAAAUGGGUACUUCCAGGCGGGAAUCGAAAAAGUCCCUUUUAUCCCGGUUCUGUUUUUAUAACCGGGAUAAAUGGGGGCCUUCUCCUGUUUUUCAUCUUCCGACUGGUUUUUUGGUUUUUGAAAAUUUAUUCGAUUUAUGUUUUCACUGGAUUUCAGGAAGCGAAAAAUAAGAAAUUUACAUAUUUCAAACAUGCAAAAAUAUAUUAAAUUAGCAAAGUUUGUUUACAAUAAGUUUUAACUAGUCAUAAAUUCUAUACUAUUUCUUUUUGCUUCUAUUUGGAAAUUUAUUCUCGCCAGGUGGAACUUGUAGGCAUCGGAUCUCGCCGGGUUUCGCUGGAUUUCAUGAAGCAAAAAUUAAAACUUUACAUAUUUCAAACAUGCAAAAAUAUAUUUAAUUAGCAAUUAUAUUGACAAUAAGUUUGAAUUAUAGCGCAGUUCGGAAUGUUGUCAUCAUCAUCCUCCUCUUCACCGUGUAAAAUGUAUAACUAUUUAUCCGGAAAGUAUAACUCUCUUCUAUGCGGACACCACUAUUCUGGUUCGUGCUUUUCUGGUCUUGAGCUCUCGUGUAAAAUGUAUAACCAUUUAUCUCGUAGCCUUGGAAUUUCAUGAUUGUGCUAGAAUUUUAGAUAGAAAUAAAACAAUCCAUCAGAUUGCUAAAAUUUUAGAUAGAAAUAUACAAAUUAAAAUUUCAGAAGAAAACAACAUGAUACACUACGACAAACUCAAAAAUAGCUGAAAGUUUAAAUAGAAAUACACAAAUUUAAACUUGAGAGCAACAACAACAUGAUACACUACGACAAACCAUCCACUAAGUACUAUCUAGAAGGACUUCAAGCAUCCUUGGGAAGCGAAGACGAAGGUUUCACGGACGCAGCCUCAUCAUGUGGUUUAUUUGUACCUCCUGCAAUGGUAGUACUUAUAAGUGGAACAUCGGGGACUGGCGGUGGAGCAUAACGACCACCAAAAGGAGGUUUCUGAUUUGCCGCAACAGCAUCUUCGUGACAUCUUUGCAAAUAAUGAAGCAUUGCUUUCUCCCACGCACUCAUUUUCUUCGGCUUAUCGUGAGGGAAAACUAUGGUUUUCCUCUUGCCGCGAGAGGAACGACGAUCUCCCCCACCAUCGCCACUACCUCCAGCAUCAGAAGCCAUCUCUAUGUACCACAAAUUAUUUAGCUCAUAUUUAAUUUACAAAUAACUAAACUAUUAAAAAAUUCAAUAUUUCCCACGUAAUGUACUUAUUCUAAAAAUGGCUAAUUUCAUACCUUUAUCUGAAAAGUACUAAAGUAUGAAAUUACACCUACAAUUUAUAUGGCUAAUUUAUAAAUAUUAAAAACACAUUUACUCUAAUUUUUUCCUAAUACAUAAAAUUGAAAUAAUCUCAAUUCUACCUCACAUUUACUGUCCAUUCUCCCUCACAUUCAAACUAUCCAUCACAUUGUAGCUCAAAAACAUGUAUAAAUACAAAUCCUCUACAUGCUUAACAACAAACAAACUAAUUUUUCUCCCUCUCUAAAGUAUAAAACAAAGCUUAACAACAAAGCAUGAAGUAGCUAACCUUCACAACACUUUGGAUAGGUGAAAUCCCCACGGAAAUAAGGAAAAAAAAUUCAGCAGCACCUCCCCUAGGCUUGCUUCAGCGCCAUGGAGAGGAUGAGCUUCUCUGUCUUUGUGGAGUGGAGUGGCUCGGGCUGGAGGAGUGGAGGAGGAAGAAAAGGUACUUGUAGAUAAAAUUUUAUCCCGGUUGGUAAAUCCAACCGGGACAAAAGAUUAGAGCUUCUUUUGUCCUGGUUGGUGGUUACUCCCGGGUGGUAACGCCAACAGGGACAAAAGGUUGGAUCUUUUGUCCCGGUUGGAAUUACCAACUGGGAGUAAAACGUUUAUCCCGGUUGGUAACUCCAACCAGGACAAAAGGUUGGGUCUUUUGUCCCAGUUGGUGGCUCCAACCGGGGGUAAAGGGUGGCGCCGUCGGUGCCCGGAAAGUAGCCAUUUUAACCGAGACUAAAGGGUGGCAUGUAGUCCCGGUUGCAUAAAAAGAACCGAGAGUAAAGGUGCACCCCAUUCUAGCCUACCGUGGCGCACCCCUUUUCUCCCGGGCCGAAAUUAAACCGAGACUAAAGGGGGUGGGAUCUAAAGUCAGUUCUCUAGUAGUGAUGUGCGCCAGCUGUAUUCUACCAAGGGCAUGUGGUAAUGCCAUGCUUGUUUUAAUUUCGUCCACCAGCAUUCACAAUGAUAUCAGCACCAUUAUAUAAUUAUGCCACUGUUAAUUUGUGAAGUUAACAGAGACCAUUGGUUGACUUGUGGAGCCCACGUCCUGUGAUCAAGUUUCUGAGGAUUGCUAUAUCAUUGUUUAUUAUAAGAAAUUCACUAUACAUUUUAUCUACGGAAGUUGACAGCACAUCCACCAUAAUGCUACUGUUUCAAGGCUCACCAGACUCUAAGUCCACUGCGAGUAUAUACUAGAUGUACCAAUCAUUCGAUGUGAGGGACGAUUAUUGAACCGUACCUCCCGUUUUCCAAACAAUUAAAGGUACCCUUCCAUGAUGGUUGUACCGAUACCGACUAUCUAUAUUAUUGCUUUCUUGAGCAUACCAAAGGGAACGAGAUGAGCACAGACAAGAUAUUCUAUACUAAAAGGUGCAGAAAUAAAUUAAUCACGAGUUAAUUGGUAUGAUGAUGUUAUAAAUCAUUUAUAUAUGCAUAAACACAUAAGAUGGUGUCACCAAAACUAAUACAAAAGAAGUAAAACUUAUUAAAUUUCAACCAACAAUUAGAUACUCUCUAAGUACACACUACUGGAAAACUGACCUUUUAUCCCGAGGCUCAGUACUGGGUUGCUAUUGGCCCGGUACUAACCUAAGCAUCAGUACCGGGCCCAACGGCUAGACAUCGUGAAGGCCUCUGUGACACCUUUAGUACCGGUUGUCUUCAACAGUUAGUACCGGGUGGUGUCUCCAUCUGGUACUAAUAUGAAAGAGGUUUUAGUCAUGUGCAGACACCUUUAGUCUGUUACCAACCAGGAGUAAAGGGUCCGACGACACCAAACGAGACUAAAACGUCCCCCACGAGUUACUAAAUGGGGGUUACUGACCGGUACUGAAAGCGGUUUCCCUAGUAGUGACAUACAGGUCAAUUAACGGUGAAUUGAAGUUUAAAUUUGCAUACCACCACCAAAUUUACUUUGCAAAUUUCCUUUUGGACUUGCAAUGUUGGCCAGAUUAAAAGCAGUAGAUGAGCUGCUUCCAGUGUAGAAUGAAUUUUCCAUUCAAACAAGCCCCCUUGAGUGGCAAGGACAAUAAAUGAAUACCACAAAUUUUAGAACAAGUUAGGGUUACUCCUCCUUGUUUCGCAUUGUUCAUCAGGUCCCCAUGCCCAUGCAUUUUUUUAUGAUACAUUGAGUUAUGUCAUAUUGUUACUUUAAGUUAUUUUUAAGUAUUAGUUGUAGACAAUUUAGUUGCAAAUUUAAGCGGUUAUUUUAAACUAUUUUUUAUAAUGGCAUAAGUGGGUAAUUUAGAUGAAGAUUAGGGAUUACUUUAGCUUAUUUUAUAUAAUGGCAGAGGUGGGUAAUUUAGAUAUAGAUUUAGGGGUUACUUUAGGCUAUUUUCUUAAUGGUUCUUAAUGGCAUAGGUGGGUAAUUUUUUUAGAAAAUAUAAUAGAUCCAAUGACUAUGAUGAUUUGAGUCUAUUGAUUGAUGGCUAGAUGUUUUGCUUGUUUGUGGGAAUUUUAAAUAUUUCUCUUUUUUCUAGAGUGUCCACCUAGGAUCCUAGGUGGCUUCACUUGGAGGCUUCAAGCCUCCAAAGGAGCUUCCAAAUUAGUAAUAGUAAGAUUUUCUCAAAAGAGACUUAAUUCUACCACUAUAACUUGAUUGGCCACCCCGGCCUCUAUCUUUGCCUCCAUUUGACUAUUUGAGUUGGCUGUGAACGAUUCACGGCGCGCAACGUUACGUUUGAUCCAAAUGCCACCACUCAUGUGCACCAGCUGUAUUCUACCAAUAGCGAUUAGGAGCGAAAUGUGCUUUGGGGUGGUAAUUGGGAUAUAGACCUUGUUCUCGAAGAGAAUCUGAAAAAGGCUUACAUUCACCCCCUCCGGUCACCCGUUCCGAUCCUUCACCUAUAAAUUAGGAGUACCAUCUAGUAAGUGGCAGGUUAGGUAAGUACCUGUAGAUGAAUGUUGGCUUGGCGUGAUCAGCUCUGCUGGUUCCACGAAGAUGCCAAUUUACAGCAAGGACAUAAGUCCAAAGGGAAAAACAAACUAAUUAUAAGUCCACUCGAGGAGCCAGUCAAGAGCAGACAAGAGGCACAUGGGUGCAUGCAUCCACACCUUGGGAUCGAAGCUGCAACUCGUCGAGUUGGAAUUCCGAGCAGACAAAUCUACGUCGAGUCAGAAUUGAUGCACUCCGCAUUCAAAUCAAAGACGGAGUCGGUUUCACUGCUGUAUAUAGCCAAGCAAACUAUUUUAUCUACGGAUGUUGACAGCACAUCCACCAUUUCUGAGGACGUGAGGGACGAACUAAUUAAUUGUUUCUUGACCAUUAUUGCACCGUACGUACCUCGUUUUCACUAUUGUAAUCUAUGAAGAAACAAACAAAAAACAAAACGAUGGAUGGAUCGAUCAUCUCGGGAUCCACUUGUCCAAUAAUCGAGAGGGCCUAUACAUGGACCACGCGCAAUUCAAGGAAAAAGAAAAAUUUGAGAUCACGUGUGCGGAUCCCUAAGUAGUAAGAAAGAAUAAUUGAGCUAGCAACAAUAAGUAGGACAUCUCCAUGCUCACCUAGUAGCCACUGCUAGUGCGCGUGGAACACGAGUGCCGGCCCAGUUGGCGCUAAGACAUGCAUUAAGUCUGAGGUGCUGGGACAUCAAGAUAAGACAUCGUACGUGCUAGGACUGGCCCAUAUAUUAUUGCAUGAUCAUCAAGAUAAGACAGUAUAGUGACUGAGUGAGACAUAUAUGUACUCACCUGCAUUUAUAUAUCCAAGAAGAGACAAGAGGGAGGCACAUGGGUGCAAGCCUCCACACGUUCGGAACUAAAGAGGUUUUAGUCCCGUGCAGACACCUUUAGUCCGGGUUGCUGUUACCAACCAGGAGUAAAGGAUCCGACAGCACCAACCGGGACUAAAGCGUCCCCCACGAGUUACUACAAAAGGAUUGCAUCCUCUACUCAGUCAGAUGUACUGUGUAGGUGAGAUGGUAAUAAGGAAGCUAUGUGCGAGGGUUGAGGUCGUGGGUUCAAAUCCCACGCACCGCGCGCGUACACGCAUAUUUCACAUGAAAAAUCGCGUGACUUGUGAUCGGCCAAGGAGAAGUGGGUGCAGCUCAGGCACGCCGCCAUAGACAUCUCGGAUUUGCUCAAAGACUACCAAGACACUAGCAAACCCUUAACAACAAAGGUGAGUACUUAGGCAUGUCAGCAUCUAUGUUGUCCAUGCUUCCAAUGCAAUAACAAGAAGGACUACUGUUCCUAGUGGACUCUUCACAACCACUCGUAAAGCUAUGAGUUUCUCAAUGCAAUUUUGUGGAAGGCAAUCGAUCCAACCAAGCGACUAAAUCAUUCGUCCUUGCCAAUGAUGUGCAUCAGGUUUUCUAUAUGAAGGACAUGUCUAGCAAACCCAAGAUUUCAGAAGAAAAAGAAAAAUCGUGGGAGCCAAAGCGUCACAUAGUUCUUCCAGGUAAAAAAAAUCAUGGGAGUCGAAAACAAAUCAGACCAAUCAGGGGAUUGUGGUCAGCUUGAUGGCAUGCCUCCAUUCGAGAUCAAAGUUGACCCAAGCAUCAUGUUAGUCAAAGAUCAAAUGUUCAUGCGUUGCUACGGUAAAGAUCAAUUGUGUUUUUUAAACUCAUGGAAUUUUUUUAUCUAAGUUUUUAUUACACUUAUCGGAUGUCUACACAUUUGCUAGAAAACCAAAAUAAUUUUGACUUAAUUAUUUCUUUCAACUCAAAUACUCAUUAAAUUUCUACCUUUUUAUUUAAGCAAGAGAGUUGCUAAAAAAAAUGGAUAUGUAACCAUGUUGUAUCAUACAAAGCAACCACAUUUCACAUAUAGUCCGGCUUAGCAAACACCAUUUUUGUCUGAACAUAGCGUACAUGAGUUAGUAGACAUGGAUCUAUUUCUAAUUGCAAGUAGCAUAACGUACAACCAGUCUGCACCGAUGCAACUCAAUAUGCGAUGAUUUUUAUCUACCCAUGUAAUUUUUCCUCUCUAGUACAUAUUGAACUCCACAUGAAUGUCAUGUUCUUUCAUGCUACAGACGGUUCCUAAAGUUUGGAAACUAAAUAGAUAGCCAGAAAUUUUUAAAAAAAAUAUUUGUAUGGAUACAUGUAUGUUCUUUGCAAACUAACAAUAUUGUUUACCAAUAUCAAAAGGAAUAUGGCUAGGAUCGUUACUGCAUAUGGCAGGUGAUGGUAAAGUUAUCAACUGCAAAGUAUUAGGCCCCGUUGAGCUCUACAAUGUUGAUAUAAAGUUUCUAUUCAUCCGAGAUCAAAUGAAAAAGUUGGUACUCAAAACAUACAUCCAUUAAUCUAGUCAUGCUAAUCCUUACCACCAAAUAAAAAACUAGCAUGUGUUGUGUGUUUGUGACCCUAAACGGUCACAAAUGAAUAACUUAUGGGCGGUGCUAGUGCCCGGACGUACGGUCCGGAGCGCUAGCAUCGGACGCACGAGCAGCUUUCCGAUCGGGUCCGACACCACUUCAGGAUCUGGCUUAAAAAAUGUCCCACCGAAACAUUGUUCCAUGUUGCAUGAAACAUCCCACUAUCCAUUGCCGGGUCUAGAGACAGCACCAGCUUCCAAUCUGCUGCUCACCCAAGCUAAAUAGGGGCAUUAAAAUUGCAGAAAUAUGUCGCAUAUCCUUCUCAAAUUAAACUAAAUUGCAACAUCCGAAAAUUUCUUACACAAAACCAUGAAACAUAUCGGUUAGAUAGGUGUAACAAGAUGAAAUAUGGUAUGCAACAUAUAGAUUCCGAAAAACAGAUGAAACAUUAUGUAAUUAUUGUUGAAACAGUUGAGAAAAAUAGAUGUAACAUCUAAAGUUAAGAAAAGAAGCUUUAUGCAAAUUGCAAAAAGUUGAAAUAAGUGGUUGAAACAUUUCAAAUCACCAAAUGGCACAUUUGAAAUGACUAGAUGAAACAUCACGAAAUCAAUUGCAACAGUUGAAGAUGAAAACAUUCAAAUGCCUUGCCUUUCUCCAGAUUUGACCCUCAAGCAUGAGUACUGCCAUUUGCACAUUACACCCUUGGGAGGAGCUCACCGGAGAACAACAAGACCGUGUUCUCCAACAAUAUUCCGAUCAAAUUGCAACAUAAAAAACAAAGCAUUGCAAUAUCUGGCAUCACCAGCUACAACAUCAACCAGUUAGGAUCAGGAGAAAGAGGGCAAACACAAGCCUAACAAUGAGUUUUAUCUGGUUUAAAUGAGGAUAAAAAUGUGUAUUUUCCACUCAUCAUGUAGUCUUUCCGCAGCUGUACCGCCUUUAGUGUGUUGCAUUGUUCCCCUAACACCAAGUCUCCAAGGCCCGAGAAAAUAAGGAAACUGAUAGCAGCCCAGAAAUCGACCAUGUUUCUUUCCCCCUUUGGCUUUCCUACUAGGAUUCGGAAUCCUCUUUCGCAUGACAAUCUUAAUUAUCCCCCGUAGUCCAAAACUCACAAAAACAUCAAAAAUCCGCCGAGAAUAAAUUAAGUAAAAAACAUGCACACACAGAUAAUAAUAAUAAUCAUGUUUCAAUAAAAUUGCUAAGGCCAGAGACAAUACAUAAACAUAUUAGACUGCUCAUGACACAUAUCACGGUGGACAGUGUCUGUGUCCUUAUUACAAGCAGCGAGAGGAAUUAAAUAUGCUUGUCACCACACACGCGCGCACAGAUGCACGACAUACAUAUAGUUGAGACCAACAGAUGGACCUCGACUAGAGGUCGCCCCAUAUGGUGAACAAUUUAUUGGAGAUGAACAUUAACAUAACUUGGCCAUAGCUUGAAGCAUAGCAACAUAUGCCUAUGAAUGGCAUUCAUGCUGGUAGCAAUGCAAUCAUAUUGUUUUAGGCUUGUCCAGCUUCUUCCAUCUUAGCAAGCACUCCCAUUUCUUCCAUCUUAGCAGCAACUGUCAAAUUGAGGUAUGGAAAUCCCAUUAGCACAUGAGUUAAUUUUGCUGUGGAAAUAGAGUACAAGAUGUCUUCACGAUGUAAGUAAUAUGUCUGAAGUUGUGAGAUGGGAAGUGAAGUCAACAAAUUACAUUAAUGGAAAUGCAUGGAAGGCCACACAUACCUAUUAGUCCACGAUAUGCUACAAAGCCUUAUAUGUACAUAUAACAAAUUAAAUGCAUUGAAUAGAGUGAGUUUAGUGAAUUUACCAGAAUCGCUCAGAGUACAUGGGAAACAGCAAGUGUUCUUGCAGAUGAAGUCGGGGCUACCCGCAGCAAUACAAGUAAAACAACAUGCUUUUGCCCGGGCGGAUACGCAGCAGCUGCACUGUGCCGCGGGGCCGGGUUAACAUUGAGGCUCAAGAUGACCAGGCACAUGAUCACCAUCAAAGCGGUAGUCCUCUUUCCCUCCAUUGCCUCCUCUUGCUGCUACCUUCCUUGGUUAUCUAGCUAAGUUUAUUGGUAUUGUGUUGAGAGGUGAUUCUUGAAUGGACG